rnacentral:lncRNA from 1 species
GGCCUGAGGGGUUAAAUCGAUCACCAAACACUAUUGAGGUCGAAUGGGAAGGAUGUGGGAAGUAGCGUGAACGGACGAUGAUUCUGCCAUUGUUGAAGUUGGGAAGAAGAUGAUGAACAGUAAGGGUUUCAGGGAAUUUUCGCUCUCUUGGAAAUUUUGAUGCAGUAAAGAGGUAAAUGGUAGAGGAAGUUGCCUUUUAUAGUGGUUGUAAGGAGAGAAAAGAAUCUGCUCAAAUCUUCUAUCGAAAUACGAAAGGUUUUCCCCGGAAUUUGACUGAUGCGUGACAGUUAAGGUAAGCGAUGAUCACGCAUGAGAGAGAGUGUCAGAUUCCUUGGAACACGCCGCCCAACAAGCGCCGUUUCUGAAGAAACCGUUUCAAAUUCACACGCGCCUUUCUGUGCCAGAGAGGAACCGCUUCAAAUUCGCACACGCGUCCACGAUGUCAAUUAAAGAGUGGACGUUUCAAAUUCGCAUGCGUUCCCUUUUUACCGCCGUUUGAAAUUCAAUCCAUUAGACUCCCGCCUGAGUCAGCAACCCUUCAUCUUAUCCUUGUAACGACAUCUUUUGAAUAAUACGCCCACGUGGAUUAAUUUUGACCACGUCUUUAUAAUUAAUCACCGAUCCAAUGAAAAAGCCUGUAAUUAUUAGAACCAUAAUUUUGGAAAAUCAAAAAAUUUCGUGCUAAGGGGUGUAAAAAGAAAAGAAAUAAAACAAAUCUUUUUAGGAAUAAAUGUGAUGUCAAUAAUGACACGAAACAAACGAUCCCGGGCACGAAUCUCUUCCUUCAAAGUCUAGAGAGACCUUAAAGUGGUAGUGUGGUUUCCCGUUGAAUAACGAUCAAACACUUAUUAAGAAGUGUUGAAAGGCUUCUUUUAAUUAGGCUCCUUAGGGUGGAUUUAGCUUUGAUUCAACAGUUCUAAUCUUGAAAUAAGAUAGAAAGUGAACAAAGUACUUGUGAGACCGGUGUAGUCUGUUGAACAAGUAGGCAUGAAAUAAUUUUAAAGUAGUUGGUAAAAAUAAAAUCUCAAAAAAAAUAAAACUGGAUCCCAAGGGAAGAAAUGUUAUGGUGUUUAACAAUUUCAUAGGAAUUACACAAAAGAAAAACUUGAGAUUUCAUGAGGAUACGUCCGUCAAUUCAUUAGUGAAAACUUGAGCAAAUUAAUUGUUCACCGUCAAUUCAGAUUUGGUAUUGAAUUUUGGGUUUCACUCAGCUCGUAGUGGCACGAAACUAAGAUCAUAAACACAGUUUUUGAGUAACCAUAAACCUCAGUGGUAAUUUCUGAGAGUCUCAAGGGUUACGUUGAUGAAACGAAUUUAAUGGAGAAAUGUAAUGGAGAUGGUGUAAGAAAGAAAAGUACCUCUGCUGUGAAAAGUAGGACCAAGCAGAAAACUCUUAUCUCAUGUGAGAAGAGAGUUAGGUAGCUCAUGAUUAGAAUAAAUGUGAUAGCCUAAUUGGGAAGACAAGGUUUGUGUAUACCAAGUCAUUAAGGCUAUUAUUCAGAAUCUGAUGAGGCUUUGGGCACAUACAGCAGCAUGCUUCUAGGGACACUUAACGAACCCAUCAAAAAUUUCCCCAUAAACGAAUGAACACACAUAGAAAAAUUAAAGAAAAAAAGCAAAUGAAGAACAAAAUAUUUUUGGAGUUUUGAUAUGUAUAUAAAAAAAACAUAAGAAAAAUAAGACUAAGAAAGAAAAUAAAAGAUAAAAAAAAACUUUGAAAAAGAAAGGAACUUUGGAACCGAACCCAAGCGUUCGGUUGAGAAAAAUUUUGGAAAAACGAACCCGAGCAAUCGGUUGGAUUCGGUUUUGAAAAAUUUUGAAAAACCGAACCCGAGCGUUCGGUUGGUUUCGGUUUUGAAAAAUUUUGAAAAACCGAACCCGAGCGUUCGGUUGGUUUCGGUUUUGAAAAAUUUUGGAAAACCGAACCCGAGCGUUCGGUUGGUUUCGGUUUUGAAAAAUUUUGAAAAACCGAACCCGAACCUUCGGUUGGUUUCGGUUUUGAAAAAUUUUGAAAAACCGAACCCGAACGUUCGGUUGAUUUCGGUUUUGAAAAUUUUUGGAAANNNNNNNNNNNNNNNNNNNNNNNNNNNNNNNNNNNNNNNNNNNNNNNNNNNNNNNNNNNNNNNNNNNNNNNNNNNNNNNNNNNNNNNNNNNNNNNNNNNNNNNNNNNNNNNNNNNNNNNNNNNNNNNNNNNNNNNNNNNNNNNNNNNNNNNNNNNNNNNNNNNNNNNNNNNNNNNNNNNNNNNNNNNNNNNNNNNNNNNNNNNNNNNNNNNNNNNNNNNNNNNNACGUUUCCAUCUUCCACAUGAUCUUUGAUGAAGUGAUACCUCAGUGCUAUGUGUUUGGUUUUAGAGUGUUGCACUGGGUUAUGACAGAUCCUAAUUGCACUUUCAGAGUCACAAUAUAGUGGGAUCUUCUUCAUAUUGAGUCCAUAGUCUCGAAGUUGACUCUGGAUCCAAAUCACUUGAGAGGUGCAGGAUGCAGUUGCAAUAUAUUCUGCUUCAGCUGUAGACAAAGACAAGCACAUUUGUUUCUUUGACUGCCAGCUAACCAACUUCCCGUCAAGGAAUUGGCAGCCACCAGUGGUGCUUUUUCGGUCGAGUUCACAACCUCCAAGGUCUGCAUCUGAGUAGGCUUGAACGAAGAAGCCUGAGUUGGAAGGAUACCAUAGACCUAAAGAGGUAGUUCGCUUGAGAUAUCGUAGAAUGUUCUUCACUGCAAGCAUGUGAGGUUCGCGUGGGUUUGCCUGAAAUCGAGCACAAUAACACACAGAAAACAUGAUGUCAGGCCUGCUAGCAGUAAGAUACAUUAGUGAGCCUAUCAUUUGACGAUAGAGCGUGAUAUCAACAGCCGGUUUGUCUAGGGAUGGAGUUAGCUUGGUGCCGAAUGCCAUUGGGACUUUGACUUUGGAGUCUCCCAUCAUGCCAAACUUUGCUAGGAGAGUCUUCGUGUAAGCUUCCUGAUUGAUAAAGAUGCCUUCGGGUCCCUGUCUAAUAUUUAAACCAAGGAAAAAGUUAAUAGGACCCAUUGAGCUCAUUUCAAAUUUAGUCUCCAUCAGCUUUCUGAAUUCAGCUGUUAGGCUAGGAUUCGUUGAGCCAAAGAUGAUGUCAUCGACAUAAAUUUGAACGAUCAUAAGGUGGUUACCUUCCUUUUUGCGAAAGAAGGUUGGGUCAACCGAACCUUGUUUGAAUUUGGACAUCUUUAAAAAUUUUGUAAGCGUUUCAUACCAGGCUCUUGGAGCUUGUUUCAGUCCAUAUACAGCUUUAUCCAGAAUGUAGCAAUGAUUUGGAUACUUUUCGUUCACGAACCCAGGAGGUUGCUCCACAUACACUGUUUCUUCGAGUUCUCCAUUAAGAAAUGCACACUUGACGUCCAUUUGGAAAACUUCAAAGUUUUUGUGGGCAGCAUAGGCUAGAAAUAUUCUUACAGAUUCCAGCCUAGCUACAGGAGCGAAAGUCUCUUCAUAAUCAAUCCCUUCCUCCUGACAGUAUCCUUUCACUACCAGACGAGCUUUGUUCCUUAUAACGUUCCCUUCCUUGUCCAUUUUAUUCCUAAAGACCCAUUUGAGACCAACAACCGAGGCAUCUGGAGGAGUUGGAAUGAGGCGCCAGACUUUGUUCCUUUCAAAUUCGUUCAGUUCGUCUUGCAUGGCUUGAACCCAAUCGGAGUGAUCGAGAGCAGUGUUAACUGUCUUCGGUUCAACUUUUGAUACGAAUGAGUUAAACAUGCAGAAUUCAACUUUGGAAAAUAAGGAUGUCUGUUUUGCCUUGAGUUGUGAUCGGGUCAGAACCUUUUCAGAGACAUCACCAACAACUUGAGAGACAGGAUGAUCUCUGGUCCAUUUGGUGAGAGGUGGGUAGUUUGGAUCAAAGGUUGGAUCCAAUUCAGCAUUUAUCAUUUCUUCUGGUUCGGACUGGCUUUCAUAGUCGUAAGACAUAUCAGCUUGCUCCCCCUCGAUAGAUGAGCUUUCAGGAAUGCUUUGAGCUUCAGAGGUUUCUUGUGGUGUGGAGCUUUCGGGCGUUGAUGCACCUUCGGAUGGUGAAGCACUUUCGGUUGGUGAAGUGCUUUCAGGAGCAGUUGGAGACCUUGGCUCCCCCUCAACAUGUGAGGUCGGCUGAGUUGACGAUGGUUGAUCCUCCCCCUCGACUGAAGCAUUGUGUGGUGGAGAAUCGUCAGAACCUGAUCCCCCUUCAUUCAUUCUUCUUGCAGCAUCUUCGACAAUUUGCUUCAUAUGAUCUACCUUGUUGUCUGCUGCGCCAGCUUCUGAGAGAGUGGCUUUCUCUAGUUCAUCAAAGAGCUCCAUGAACUUCUCGAAUAGAUUGGCUAUCAAGACUGUGACUUGGCCAGUUUGAGGUAAGAUUUCCUCAGCUGUGUCUUCAUUGGCCUUUAGCUUUUUGACAUAGCUAUCAUCAAAAGUCAUGUAGUAAGUCUCUUCGAUUUUCCUCGAACGCUUGUUUAAUACCUUGUACGCUUUAGAAGUGAGAGAAUAGCCCAGAAAUAUUCCUUCGUCGGCUUUUACAUCGAACUUGUUGCGGUGUUCUUUGGAAUUGAAGAUGAAACACCUUGAACCGAACACAUGGAAAAACUUCACAUUGGGCUUCCUGUUGUUGAGAAUCUCAUAAGGAGUGAGCGUGAAUCGCUUGUUGAGAUAUGACCUGUUCUGUGUAAAACAAGCAGCAGAAAUAGCAUCAGCCCAAAAAUAAAGAGGUAAGGAAGCGAAACUUAGCAUGGUUCGGGCUGCUUCACACAAAGAUCGGUUUCGUCUUUCGACAAUCCCGUUUUGUUGAGGUGUGUAGGGAGCUGAGAAGUUGUGACUAAUUCCCUUUUCUGCCAGGAAUUCUUCGAAUUCUCUAUUUUUGAAUUCCAGACCAUUGUCGCUCCUGAUGUUGCGAACGACCUUCUUCAGCUGUACUUCAAUCUGCUUGAUGAACACUUUUAGCUUGUGAGUCGCUUCAGAUUUAAGCUUCAGAAAGAACACCCAUGUAAAACGCGAAAAGUCAUCAACAAUAACAAGAAUAUACUUGCUACCACCGAUGCUUUCGAUAGAUGAUGGACCACAUAAAUCAAUAUGAAGUAAUUCAAGUGGUUCAACAACUUUAGUGUUUAUUAUAGAUGGAUGACUUUGACGACUCUGCUUCCCCAUUUCGCAUGCAGCACACAAAUGAUCUCUAUCGAACUUGAGCAGUGGAAGACCUCGAACAUGACCUCCAGUGACAAGUUUGUUGAUGUCCUUAAAGUUAAGAUGAGAGAGCCUUCGGUGCCACAACCAGCUUUCGUCAGAUUGUGCUUUUGAUAACAGGCAGAUAGCUGGGUUUCCUUUGAUGGGUUUGAGGUUUAGAGGAAACAUUUCACCUUUACGCUCCGAUUUGAGAAUAACUCUUUUCGUCUUCUUCUCAAUUAUUUCAGAGCCCUCAUCGUCGAAUGAGACUUUGAGACCGGUACCUCCAACAAGCUGAGAUACACUGAUGAGGUUGUGUUGUAAUCCUUCCACGUAUGCCACCUUCCUUAUCGUGAAAUCACCGUUAGUAAUCAUUCCAUAGCCUUUUAUGGUGCCGAAGGAGUUGUUCCCAAACUUCACGUUUCCACCAUUUGAAAGAGACCUGUAUUCCCUUAGCUCUUCCUUCCUUCCUGUCAUGUGACGCGAGCAGCCACUAUCAAUGUACCAUUCUUCGUCAAACUGCUCGUCACUGAUAACCUGCAAAAAUUAAGCAGAUUUAGGAACCCAAAGUUUCUUGGGUCCACGUGAGCCUUUCACAGGAACAGGAAUAGUAAGAGAGAUGUCAACAAGGUAUGUUCUUUUAAUUAGUGUUGUUUCAUCUUUCUUUUUGAUGGUAAAAACUUUAAUUUUAUUGGGAUUUAUUACUGUUGGUUUGGACUCUGGUUUAACUGAUGAAACCUUUGAUUUUCCUAUCGGUUCAGUUGAUGAUUGAGGUUUUUGAGAGUCAACAGAAUGGGAUUUUGAACGAGGUGGAGAAGAGUUAGAAGAGUUUGAAGAAUUAGAAUGAGAGAGCUUAGAUUGAGAUGACUUCUUGGCUGGAGACUCCAGGUGACCCUUUUGCUUUUGAUCAUCAGUGGGAGCGACCUUAGAGUUUUGAUCUCUUUUGGUUUCCGAACCGAACCUUUGCUUUCGGUUGUUGUAGUUCUCUGAACCGAACUUCUGCUGUCGGUUGGAAUCAUUUUCUGAACCGAACCUUUGCUUUCGGUUGAUGUUUUUCUCCGAACUGAACCUUUGCUUUCGGUUGUUGUUGUUCUCGUGUGUUUCAACAGGACUCUUCUCUGACUUUAAGUUCCUAUCUUGGUGUGAGAAAUAGGCAUUCUGAGAUUCCCAAAACUGUUUUCUUUCAGAGAGAUUCUUCCUGUAUCUCUGAUUCCUUUGCCGUUUUUGAUUUCUCAUCUGCUUCGGUUGAUGAUGGAUGUUAGCUUUCUGUUUCGGUUUUUCUAUGGCUGGUUCACUCUGAACAGAGGAAGUUUCACUUGAAGAUGUGACUUCUUUUGUUGGAAUUCCUUUUUCUUGAGGAAUGUCUUUCGUACCGCUAGUGCUUGGCACAUCGAAGUUAUCAGGUUUAUUCAAGGGUUCUGGUACGUAUCUCCCUUUGCUUUUCCAUGAGGUCCUUUCAGACAAACCUACUGUUUCAUCAGCAUUAUCGAUUGGAGCUGACCAGAAGAACUCAUCGCAGCCAUCAGCAUUGUCUUCGUUUACAAUAGCUGUGAGUUCAGCAGUCUGAUGUUCGGUUACGCCUGUGACCUUGUAUACCUGAUUUGGAGUGGUUCUAACCUUUUGAUAUACUACGGCCUUCUCUACAAGAAUCGGGGACUUUUGUUGGGACAAACGAGCGAACUCCACUGAAUUUUCUGAAAUUAGAUUCUUGUGGUUUUCAGGUUCGCUUUUUACAAAUUCUGAACAGUCAACCGUGUCAUCUACAGAAAUUUCACUCAUAUUAUCGUCCUCAUUAAGCUCAGAUGCAUUUUCAACAUCAAUUUUAUUUUCUGAGCUCAAGUUGGCGUUUAAAGAGUCAAAUUUUUGUAUGGUUUCGGUUCUCAGUUUCAGUCUAUCAUUUUCAUCCAAAAGGUUUUUAAGCAUGUCCUUAUGGUCCUUGGAUUUAAUGAAAGAUUCUAUUUUGUCCAGUCCAUACAUAUAGGUCGGAUUAACGUCCUCAGAUGAAAUAACACUCUCACAAUUAUACGCUUCAGCAUCAAUUUCAUCCUCCUUAAACUCAAGGAAGGGUAAAAUCAUGCGAUGAAUCUUUUGUCCUAUUUCACAAUCCAAAUGAAGCUGAGUAAUAUUAGAGUAAAGACGUUUAGCAAUCAGACAAAAAACAUUUCGCUGUUUCAAAAGCUUUAAAUUGUCUCUUUGUAAAUAAAUGUUUUCAUCUUUUAUUUUGAUUAAUUCCGACUCCUUCAGUUCGAUCCACAUGCGCCGUUCCUCACUCUUCGAAGACACCCUGCUUAAUUGGUCAGUUAGGUUAGAAUUGGUGACUCGAGUUUGAGUUAAACUACUAUCUAGAUGAGAGAUUCUUGAAUUAACACUUUUUAGUUCUUUUUCAUAUGAGCUUUGUGGGACUUUAAAUGAGACAAAGAUGGAUUGUACCUUCUUGAUCAGUUCGUCGAGCUCGUUGAACUGCACGCUGAGCGGCUUAGCUGUAAAGCACAUAUCCUGUUGCUCCUUCGGUUCAUUACUCCCACCAUCAGUGUUGUAUCCCCUCAUCUGAGAUACGUCGGAUACCAUCAAGCAUCUUCCUCCACUGCUUUCUUCUUUAGCCACAUAAGCCUUUCCAUGAGAAGGCUUCCUCACUUCAUCAUCUUCAGAGUCGGUUGACCAAACCUCCACGCCACCGAACUCAUCAUCAGCAACCGAACCCUGCACAAUUAGAGCAUUCAUAGAAGGGUUAGCGGUAGAUUUCUUCUUCCUAAUUUCAUCCAGCUUUUUCUGCAACAAAGCUUCUUCAUCCUUUUCCUCAUCCUUUUCAGCCAUCUUUUUGAGGACACAAUCCUUUGCAUAGUGGUUCUUUCCUCCACAAUAGUAGCAGCUUACUCCAGAAUCACCUUCUGCCUUCGGUUCCUUCUUAGACUCUUCAACCUUCGGUUCAUCUUUAACCUUUUCAGAACUAUAACUCCCCUGCCAGUUUCGGUUUUUGUUGGAGGGGAAUCUCUUCUUGAUGAACCUCUUGGGGUUUGACACCAUCAUAGCAUAAUCCUCAGAAGUGAGGUCAUAAUCCUCCAAGUUGAGGUCUUCGUCCUCCAUCACAGCUUUACUUUUGGACAGGAGAGCCAACGAACCUAGGCUUGAAACCACAUUCUUCUCCUGCAACACGAUCUUCUCCUGAGAUUUCAAGAUGCCCACCAGUUUCGCCAAAGAGUAGGAUUUAAAUUGCUCGUGCGCUUUAACUGUGGACACAACUGCUCUCCACUCGGAUCUGAGACCGUUCAAAAAUGUAACCUUCUGCUCAAUAAGCUUCCUUUCGAUGUCAUGUUUGAUCAUCUUGCUAAGAAGAUGAUUGAAGCGAUCGAACGUUUGGGUCACAGUUUCUUCGGCUCCUUGCUUGAAUUCACCAAACUCAGACAAGAGUAAGGUUUGAAUGGAGUGUUCAAGAUCUUCGUCUGUAGAGUACAAUUCACGUAGCCUGUCCCAUAUCUCUUUUGUUGUCGUGCAUGAACUCACCAGCCUAAAAGUAUCAGAUUGAAGAGCGAAUCUGAUCAACCUUAACGCUUUGAUAUUGCACUGAAAUUUAUCUUUUUCGUCUUGCGCAAUAUCUUUAACAUCUUUCAGAAGAUCAUUAUACUCCUUUUGAGUUUUAAUAAUCCUUGAAGUUGCUGAAUGAGAAAAGGGUCCAGAGAUGAUUGCUUUCCAGAUGAGGUAUCCAUUAUCCUCAGAUCCUAUAACGUAAUCUUCAAAGUGAUGCGCCCAGACUUCAUAAUCAUGGGUGUACAGGAUGGGAAUCUUCGUUGUUGAUCCAAUGCUGUUCGAAAUAUUGAUGGGAUUCGAUUGCGACUCGUCCAUAAUGAUCGAAUAACCUGUUCAAAGAUCAGACUUGUAAUAAAUCAAAUUAGGGCAAAACAAUAAAUAUCGAGAUACGUCAAUAAUGAUAUGACGGCUCAAUAAAUAUCAGUAAUUGCGGAAUAACCCUAAUCGAAACCUUUUUCACAAAAAAGAAGUGUAUCGAUUACACAGCCUCCUGCUCUGAUACCAAUUGAUAAGUUAAAAACUAACUUGAAGAUCGAUUAGAUCUAUAAAAACAGGUAAAGAAAUAAACAAGUAAACGGCAAGAACACAAUAAUGGAUCAAACGAUGUCGAAUGAUUAAUAAACAGUCCUCAGAAGAGCUCAAUAAAGAACUUCUACUGUAGAGGAUUAGGGUUUACAAGAACGAUAAAGAAAUCUGCAAAGCUAUCGUAAUGCUAUCAAUCGUAUUCUAGAUCGUUAACCUAACAUGCAUGCAAGCACAUUAUUAUAUACUAAACCCUACAAGCUCACGGUUGGACAGGCCCAAACCGAAGUACAAAACUUGGACUAUAAACCGAGCCCAAUGACGCAAUACAAAAUAAAGCUACGCUACCCAACACGCAUUCAGCCCUCCAGGACCAGUCAUUUGACUGUGACACCAGGGUCAUCGUGCGAGGACUUGGUCAAUUCCAUUUCUGAUCCCCAACAAUAGGCGGUCACACUCUUGAUUCAAUUCAAAGGCUAUAACCCAAAAAAGAACCAUGCAUAUAAUUCAAACCAAGUGCUCCAUUGUUGUCUUGUCCAGAAAUGUUGCUAAAACUCUAGUUGGAUGCAUCCAAAUACCAACCCUGCCAGCACGACAUGCCAAAAAUUAGAUUCUAUGCAGAUCUAAUGUCUCAUAUCGAAAACUGAACAACACUGCCCUAAAUUCUGGAAUCCCAAUAACCAAGGACACCUUCCAAACUCGAGCCGAACUUGAUGAUAGGUUGAAGAAUCCAUUGAACCUCAAAUGAUACAGCUCAAAUUUCCGAAGAGUCUUCACUUUGACGAUGAAUGAAAUAUUGCCCAAUCUAGACUAUAAAUAACAAUCCAUAGAACGAGCUAACAAAUCCCUCAACAACCGAUACUCUACCUGAGCGAUCCUAGCGCCUCCUCAUCUCUUCAUUGGCAUCCCAAAAGGAACCAAUGGCUACAACGACCUCCUUGACCAACUACUUCCUACUGCGAGACAACUUGUGUAUUUCCUAAACACAUACAUCCGAUAACUACUUGCUCUACAUCCCAUACUUGACCAAAUCUUGAACAGAAACCCCGCAUACCCACACCGUAGAUCCAUAUGAACCAUUCUUCCGACACCACAAACUCAAACAGAUUGAUAAUCCUCCUAGCAUAAUACCUAGUUCUCCCUUACUUAGGGUUCGAACUACCACUCACUGGUGUUGCAACAAAACCAUAUAUCGUACCGGCUCGACUCGGUACAAACCAUCCCUAACUCUUGGAAUGUAUGACACAUGCAAGAUGAUCUUCCAAAUAAGGACCAAGCAAACCCAAAGAGAUUCAAAAUCUCAGAUGAAGAACUCAGAAAAUUCCAAUCAAGCCACAUUUAACAUUAAGGGUUUCAUGCAAAUGCAUAAGCAAAACACCAAAUUACUAUCCAAAAACAUACACUCCUCGCCUGAAAUCCCAACCGUCAAUUCAUUGUAAUAGUCGUUCAUAAAUACCAAAAGGCAUCAUUCUCAUAGUCGGGAUACAUUAGAGCAGUGUUCUAAAAGGCGCGCCAUGGCGGGCGCCAAGGCGCGCCAUGGUGUGAGGCGCGGCGUCGCCGUUACGAAAAGCUUCAUAACGUUGUUGUUAGGCGUGGCGCGUGGCAAGGCGUGAUAUGGCGUGCCAUGGCGCGUUAUGGCGUGUUAUGGCGCGUGUUUUUUUGUUUGAGACACGUUUUUUUGCUCUUUUUUAUACCUUUUCUAAUCGGACAUACAAGUAUUGUGUUUUUUAUUAACUUUCUGUUAUUAGUUGUUGAUAUAACACUUCUAAAAACUAGAUAUAUUUGAUAUAAAUUGAUAUUUAUGCGGUAAUAUAAUUAUAAAUUAAUACAACAUCGCCGCCUUACAUCACGCCUUGAAAAACGCCAUGGCUCACCAUAACUCGUUAAGCUUGAGGCUUAGCCUUGCCACCACGCCACGCCUCACGCCUUUUAGAACCUUGCAUUAGAGAUAACAAAAGUUCUCGCUCUCGAUUCGCCUGAAACCAUCGGCUAGCUCCUGGCCUACCUAUAUUCCAAGAAGCAGACCCUUGGUCUCAUCACGAGGCAUCCAUAACACAACAAUCCUCAUGCGUAUUCCCACGCUGUCAUACUGCCGCCAAACACCGCAUCUAACUAGCCCCAUGUUGGGCUUACAUCCGACUCUAUAAGUCACAAAGAUGCUCACUCCUUCUCCGAACAUGGAAAACUAGGAGAAAAUAACCCUUUCCAUAGAUAGUGACAUUCCAGUCCAUCUGUCAAUCACUCAUCCUCCGGCCGAAAUCCUCUAUCCAAUCACGACAUCUACUUCCUUCUUGAGUCCCGCGACUCAAUUGGCACUCCUUUGAGCCAGGCCCUCGGGACCUCAAAUCAAAUGAGUCACCUGGUCCGCACCAUUUAAACCCAACAGACAUGGCCAAUAAAGCCCAAACAAUCACUAGACUCAUCCUCAUCCUGAACAACCAUAACCAGAAGAUCGGCAGAUACAACAAUACUAUCACGAAUCAUGGUAUCAACCAUGUCAUCUACCCCCAACUAGACCCUUGUAAUCCUCAUGACUUCUCUCUAUUCGAGUAUGGAUCCUACGCUUUUAGUAGUAUGGGCCCAAUACUACAUUCCACACCUUUCUAUACUUUCCUCAAGAUUCAUCCCAAGUCAUCUAAGUUACUUGCUUAAUAUAGUACUUCCAACACCCACUAAACAGCAUAGCAACCACACUAAAGCACUUCCUAGAUUCUCCUAGGAUUCCCCACCUCCCUGCCAUUAGCUGCUGAAGAACCCCUAUUAAUGUCAGCUAACCACUUCAUGAAUACAAUUACAUGCAACAAAACUUAAAUAAUCUUUCGACUAAAAGACUCAACCCUACAACGUUUAGAGUCAGACGAGAGUUGUGCAAUUGGACCAAAUCCUUCACUCUAGGAUUAUUUAACCUUCAUAACAUGUAACUUUAAUGUAUCAUUUUAUAGUUAACUCACAUCAAUAAGAGAUCUACAAAGCACAGAGCAGGAAACAUUCGAGCAGUGGAUUCGACUGGCAUUAAGACACAAUAAAAUCAGACAGGUCCUCAUUCGAAAUUCCCAACCUCUAGGCACAAGCAUCUAGGAUACACCUUUAUCAUGUCCUCACUCUCUCAUGAGUGGCUAAUCAUUCCCCACGCUGACCUGCUAUGAACUACACCCACUCAUUAAACUUUUACCAACCCUACAUCCACUUGUGAAUUCUAAUCAUAAAUAACGUUGGAUCCCAUAAACAGUCGAAUACUUGACUCAACCCCAAGUCAUUUAUCAGAAAAGAACAUGAAAUAAAUCAAAAUAAAAUAUUCUCAUACUAUAGAAUCUUUGUUAUGUACAACUAUGAAUGAUGCACACACAAAACACCUAUAAUAAUGAUGUCAAUUUCAUCUAACAUAUAAGAAGUUCUCCUAGGCUAUCAGACAUGAUACAUCAAGCAAUUCUAUCAGGCAAUUCCUGCAGACCCUGAGCCUAUCACUAGCAUGCAGUUCUAUCAUAAUCAUCAUAAACAAGUACCCGUGUGGUAACUUGGGGUAUACUUUCUUGCUACGGCUGAUCAUACGCAUCUCGUCCUUCGUGGUUACUUCUGAAAACAAUUUGAAUUUAAUUUGAAAAUUAUUUGAAAACAAUUUGAAAAUAAUUCGAAGCUUUCAAAGAUCCUUAGUUUGAUUCUAGAUUCACCCGAAUGUUCAUCCAAUUCUCUCAAACUCGGGCUCUGAUUCCAGCUUGUAACAUCCUAAAAAUCAAAGUAAAAUUUUCAUUUAUCAAAAACUACCCCAAGACAAUAACUGUUUACAAAAACAUUGUUUCAAAAGUAUAAUUCAUCAAUCAGAGUAUCCCAAUAUCCAAUACCUUAAAAUCCGAAGGAUGUGCACGAUCAAGCCUUCGCCUUGCCACGAUCAUUGGAAGUACCUGAAACAAUAAACUAAACAGUAAGCACGAAUCUUAGUGAGUUCCCCUAAAGUACCACCACACAAAAAUAUAACAUAUACAAUCAUGCAUGUUGGGUCCAAUCAGUCAUUAGACUGGAAUACCCUUGGGUCCACAACCUCUCCGUUGGAUUACUCUUGGCCCACAACCUCUCCGUUGGAUUACUCUUGGCCCACAACCUCCCAGUUGGAUUACCCCUGGACCACAACCUCCCGGUUGGAUUGCCAUACAUACUACAUAUUGGGUCCAUAACCUCUCAGUUGGAUUACCCCUGGCCCAUAACCUCCUGGUUGGAUUGCCCCGGGUUUGUUGACUGGUAGCACAAAGCAGUACAGUAUCAACCUAACCACACCAUGUCAACAUAUACAUCAAAUAAACAUAUAAACAGUCAGAAGACAAUAAGAAGAUCUACAGAUCACUAGCGCAUAACAUCAUCCUAUAUACUAAGAUACAUAUCUAACAUACCAUUACAACAUAUCAACAUCCUAUAUACCAGGAUACAUAUCUAACAUAUCCCCACAACAAAUCGACAUCCUAUAUAUUAGGAUAUAUGUCUAACUGAUCAGUAUAACAUAUCAACAUCCUAUAUACCAGGAUACAUAACCAAGUGGGGCGACAUUGGUGCCUUCGACCCGCAAGUACAGUAAGGAAACUGACCUCUCAGACCGAACAUAUAGUUGAACGGUCUCUGAUCUGAAUCUCAACUCUAGUCGUUACCUAUUCAUCAAAUACUGAACAAUCUCAAAUACAACUCAAAAUAUCUAAAAACCCUUAGGUCAAACUUGGUCAAGAUUCAACGGUCAAGAGUCAAAGUCAACUAUAGCACGUCGCCAUGCCAUGACCAUCCUUAGCCACGUCGUGGCCACUAAACGAAAAAACAAAUGGGCCUCGAUCCAAUCUCUACACCAUGGUAACCCGAGCCCCGCUUUGGGGACUGAUCUGGGCAACUUAAACCAUUAAGUCACUUUCAUUUCCAACUUUAAGGGCUCCAAAAUUAGAUCUGGUCCUUUCAAAGGUCCAAGUGUUCCAAAUUUAUCCCUUUAGACACUCCAAGUGAUAGAGAUCUCACUCCAAGGUCUAAAUAAGGAAAAAAUAUAACAUGGAUUAUUCAAUAAGCACUUAUCCUAGAAAGUCUAUUGACCAAUAACUCCAAAAGGGUUUGUAGCAUCAUUUCCAUCAUAAAAAUUCGUGCUUUUUAGGCAUGCAUGUCCAAUGCAUGCCUUGAACUCUCAUUAGGUCAAAACAAGGGUAAAAGUGCCAAGAUUCCAUGCAUGACCUCCAAACUCAAUUCUACUUUAGAUUUAAAGAGCCAAAUACUCCAAAUGGCCUAAGGAUUUAUAAAGUUGCAAACUUUAUGAGAUCCUACCCUCUAAAAUCCACAAGAUAUGAAGACAAAGGACCAAAAUCCAAGAUCUACCAACUUGGAAAGGAAAGUAUUGAGUCUUCAACACUCACCCAAGUCUAGAAGAUGUAUAUGUUGCUAACAAGGUGAUAAACCACACCAGUGACUUCCUUCUCCUUCAAAGUAUACCAAAAAUGAACUUUCAAGAGUGAUGGAGGCCAAGGUUUCAAGAUGGGGAGGUGGAGGCUGAAGGAGAUAACCUAGAGAGGGAGUUAAGGCGUUUAUAUAUAAGGGAAACCCUAAAAAUCCUAGAUUUGAGUUUCAGCGGCUGUUACAUCGUAGCCUUCUGAUGCUACUGAUGGGUUUGAGCCAAAAGAACAUCCUAUGUGCUCAUGUAAACCCUAAUGCUUGGAUCUAGGUUUCUCUAAUUGUACAUGAAUUCAUCCAAGACUUUCAAACCCUAGAUCUAAUGAGUAUAAUUUGAAAUUAAUGUGACAAAUUAGAUCUAGAUGAUUACCUCUUGUUGCUUGCUUGAAUCUUCUUGUCUUUGAAGCUUAGAGUCACAAGUGUCACUCCUCUAAUGGCUUACAAACACUAAUAGCAAAAAAAUGAUCUUGGAGAGAGGUUGCAAGAGGCAAAGUUUCGGCUAUGAUCUUUCUAGGGUUUCAAGUGACCGCAAAUUGUAAGCCUUAGGGUCCUAUUUAUACUGGAGCUGCUAGGGUUUCAGCCUAAACCCUAAUGGACAACUUAGGCCUUAAGCUAUCCAAGGAAGAUUCUGGAAUAGGGCCUUGUGGCCAAAAUUAUGGAUGAACACAUCCUAAUUUCGUCCAUGCCUAGCCCAAGAGGUUCCUCAGCCCAAUACUCAACUAUCACACAUUUGGCAGUUUAAGUCCAUGUUAUUAAAUUAAUGUCUUUUAGCCACAAAAUUAAUUCGUAAUAAUUCUUGACUAAUAUUAAUUUAAUUAUAUGAUUUCUCCAUUAAUAUAUUAUUCAUAUAACAUAUUAAUAAAUCAUAAACAACCUCUUUCUUAAUAAAUCAUCUUAUCAUGUUGCUUCGGUGAAGACAACCUAAAAGGACCAAGCACAACCGGGUCAAGUACUUGCCAAAUAUAGUUAUGGGCUUAAACACUAAUCCAACAGCUACGUUGUGACACCUACCAAGACACACGUUCAUUAAAUUUCAUGACACACCGUGGGUACCAUGCCCCACGUCAUGGCUGAGCAUUUCCUCCAAAUCCUUAUUAUGAUUUCUUAAUUAUUCUCCCAACCAUCUUGGGUCACGGGUGUUACUGCUAAAUCAAUGAUUGUUUCUGCUACCUUUAGCAAGUGUACCGAUGCUAAUAAAACCCAAUACUAUUGGUUUCGUCUGAGUAUUAGUUGUUUUUUGGGCUUGUUCCAUUAUGGGGCCUAAGAAUUUGGGUAGGACCAUGAAUCGAUGGCAUCCGGUAAGGCUCUCGACCCAAGUAUAAAUGAUAAAUACAUGAAUGGAAGUAGUUAGCCUAAGUCUGUAAGGGGGAAAAAUGUGUUACUAGAGGGAGGAAAAUGUCCUCUAGGUUGCGGCGAGGAAUGACGACCAUGAUUAUUUCCUCACCAAUUAUUGGGAGGGGGGGUGGGGGUCCCAAUGAAUAUAUCUGAUCUCAUGACAUGUCAACAAGAUAUGUAUGGUUAGACAGGGUAGCGAGAGUAGGGAUGGGCAUAUAUGGUGGAUAGGUCUUAUCCAAUUUUGUGAUGGGCUUCAAUUUCUAAUAUACUUUAAGCAAUAAUGAAUGUAGGAAGUGUUUUGGUGAAUAUAUGAUGCUACAAUAUCGUAUCUGUCCACGAAACCCCGGACAAGUUGUAAGGCCGAUUGUUGUUUGUUGACUUCGGUGUAGAUGUUGCACGUUCUUUGGAUGUAUCUCGAAGAUAUUGAUAAUAUUCUAGAAAAUAGGGCAUUAUUUCAAGUUUAAGGUUGUCGAACUUGUGUUCAGGAGCAUAAGCAUUAGUGCCUUUGUUGUUAAGGAAAAUAUUAUUGACUUAUACCCAUGCCUUGUGCAUGGGAAAUGGAUUCUUGUUCAAGGACCCGGACGAGUAUGUCUUUAGAUAAAAAGGGUUCCAUAAAUCUAUUGCAUGCAAAACAUGUGUAUCAAUUUCUGCCCAUAAAUCAUAGUUCUGGUUUUUGUGGAAGGAGUAGUGCUACCUAAUAGCUUCAUACAUGAAGUUGGAAUCUUUAACCCAUGAAGAUUAUGAUGGCAACCGGUUUUUAAGGACUUUCAACUUUUAGUUUUUAAGAAUAAAUUUGAAUUAAACAAAAAACUUUGUUCAUGAAUAGACGGCUAUAUUUUAUUUUAAACAAAAAACUCAUAAUCCAGAAACUAUUUCAAUUAGUAUUUUAGAGCUUUUCAAUUUUUAUGUUAUUUUACAAAUUUCAAAAGUCAAAAUAUUUUUACCGAACAUUAUACAAAUAAAAAUUAUAAAUUCAACUACAAACAAAUUUUACCAGAAAAACCUAUGAAGGUUGCCACUAGAAAUGUACAAAUGAUAUGAUACGAUUUGAUUUUCAACAAAAAAAAAAAAUGUAUGUCCCUUUCUAGAUUGGAGGACAAUAUAAUCAUUAUGGUGUUUAGUUGGAUAGAAAAUAAAAAAAAAAAAAAAAUUGGUGUUUGUAAUUGGAUUGAUUUGUGUUGUCAAACUUUUAACAUUUUGUAAUUUUGUUUUCGUUUUUUCACCCUUCUUUUGCUUUUAAAGUAGUGAUUUUAUAAUAUCUCCGUUAGUUUAAAAAAAAAAAAAAAAAAAAAAAAAAAAAAAAAAAAAAAAAAAAAACCUCCAAGCCAUGGAAAGUGGGGUAAAAAGGCUCUAAUUGAUUAUUUUCUUUUAUUUAUUUAUUUAUUUUAAAAUAAAACAUAUUAAAAAUAACACAUCAUUUAAUGCUAGCACUCUUUCUUUUAACAACUUGGAUGUUAUUAUAUUCUCAAUCAUACUUGGCUUCAAAAAUUGUUAUAUGGUUUCGAAAAAUCUUAUGUGUGGUAGCAUGCUAAGCAUUCUAGACUCCUUUCAAUCUUAUACGUAUCUUUCGAUAAAUUAUCUACAAAAUCUGUAUUUAUUCACAAUCUUUGAAUGCCAAUGUGAAGUAGUUUUGUGUCAUAAAUCCACUUUUGGACUUUUAAAAUUAAAGAAAAUUCAACCUUACAUCCAUUUAUUUUGCUUUGGUGUCAAUAAGCUAAAAUACAAAUAUUUUAGUUAUUUCAAAUAUCAUGAGCAUAAUGACAAUAUUAUUAAAUCAAUGUAACGGCUUUGUCGGUUAAUUAUAUUAUAAUUUAUGAUAAAUCAUUAUUUUACGGAUGAUCACUAAAAAAUUUAACAAUUUAAAUCAGAGUUAUAUAAUAUUCGCAUCUCAUAUGCUACAAGUUUAAUCACAUAUAGAAUUAUAAAUAAAUUAAAUAUUUUGAGCUUAUUUGCUACGUAAACAUGGCACAAAAAAGAUAUUAAUGUAAUUUUAUACACCUUGUUUACGUGCUUACGUUCAGAUAACAUCUUGCAUGUCUUGAAAAGAAAUAAUCUAUAAAUAUUAAACAAUAUUAAAUUAAAGGUAAAAAAUUAGAUGAUUCAAAUAAUAACUUAAUAUUAAUACGGAUAACCAAAGAGUUUCUAGCCAAGUAAUAUUGUAGUCUAAACAGUUAUCACGAUCAAAAAUAUAAUAGCGGUCACCGACCGCCAUUUGAAAUCACGGUUCUCGCGGCAGUAUAGCGAUGAUAUAACAUUUUUUAUAUUAUUUAGAAUUUAUAUAAAUCAGAGUAUUAAUCAGUAAAUCAUACAUCAAAAUUCAACCAAAUCCAAUUAAUUAGUUAAUCAGUAAAUCAUAAUUCGCAUAUCAUGUUUAGUUAAUCAUAUUUCACAUAUCAUAAUUAGUUAAUCAUACUUUAUAGACCGGUUACCAAUGUCACAUUAAUCAUAUUUUAACAUAAUCAACAAGAAAACAUAUGCAAUACUUACAAUUUUAUCAUAUUUUAACACAAUUACAGUUAGCAAAUAAAAUGAUUAAGUAAUUUGAUAGUUAAUCAUGAUGUAAUACUUUAAGUUUUCAUCACAAUUAGCAACACAACACAUACAUUGUUUCAAUGGAAGUCAUAACAGUAAAAAAAUUACAAUUUUAUUCAAUGGAAUUACGCAAAUUUUGGUUUGGACUAAGUAAAAACAAUUUUGUUUAAUGGAAUGACAUACAAUUUUUUUUAUAUGUAAAAUAGCCUAAAAUUGGAAUUUAUUCAAAUAGUGGUUAUAUCGCCGUUAUAGCGGUGAACAUAAUCGCGGUGAAUAGCGGUAAAUUGCAACGCUAAUAGCGUCAUUGCUAUUCUAAACUGCAAUUUUAAAAUAACAUUUAUUUACCUCCGUUAACCGCUAUAGCGCCGCUAUUGACUACAUACAUUGUAGUAUCCGGUGCCGUAAUAUAGUCGUUUACAACAUAUUUUAACUAUUCCUUCGAGCAAGAAGCAGCAAAAGUAAGUAAAAUUAGUACAGCUGCUUCUAAUAAGAAAUAAAAUAAACAAUAACAAAAGUAGCUUUUAUUUAGUAUACUGCUAUUUUAAACAGGGCAAUCUAGAAAUCGUUGGAAAUAUUAAAAAUAACAUGCAAAGGAAACAAGAACAUUAAUGACAAAUGAUGAUUGCUUCACGAUAGAAAAGGAGUUCGAAUAAUAGAUAAGAUACUUUCUUCCGUGUGCCGCGAAAUUCACCCAACUUUGACCGUCGACAACCCAUCUCUCAAUUUCCUUUCAAAUUGUUUAUGCAGCCACUUUCAUAAAUUCCUUUAGAUUUUUUUUUUUAUUUUUAGUAAGACUAAUAAACGACACGGACCCUAAAUAAUUAUCAAUUUAGUACGGAGCCGAGCAGUUUCAGCCAUGGGUUGUUGGCAAUACCUAGUAAAGGUGGUAAGGCCAUUUAAGAGAAGUCAUGUAUAAAUCGUUGGGAGCUUUCUUUUUCACUCUUCUUUUUUUUUUUUUUACGGUUUGAAAACGGGUCGAAUUUUAAAAAUGAAAAAUUAAUUUUUUUAUCCACUAUAAAUACAACUAUCUACCUCAAAUUUAGGGUUGUUUGAGACUUUUUUUUUUCAAACGACGAAAUAAUAUUAAAACUAGCAAGAAGCUAAAAAAAUAAAUUUUUUUAGAACGGUGAAAGAUUUUGUUAAAAAAAUAGCAAGAGGCUUCAAAAAAGAAAAAUUACAUCAAAAUAAAAGUUAAAACCAGAUUAUGAAACCAAGAAGUUCAUCUGAUCCUAGAAUUACUAGACCUAUUAGAAAUCCAAAAAAAUGUCUUCUCCAUAAUAGCAUCAAAGAGAUCCGAUUUCCUAGGAAUAGUCGAGCCAAAAACAAAAUUAUUUCUAAAAUUCCAAAGACACCAAAAAACCGAAAUAAUCACUGCGUCAAAAACUUUUCUUUGACCAACCCUCAAACUUGUAGAAUCAGUCCACCUCAUGAUAUUGUAAUCUUAUCCGGAACAUCCCACCAAAUAGCAAUAUUGUGACAUCCCCAAAAUUUUUGGCCAGAAAAGACCGAUUUAAUUUAUGUUUUUAAAAUAAAGUCAGAGUAAUCUUCCAAAAUGUGUUGCGGAAUUUGUCCCCAAAACAAAAUAUGAUAAAAAUUUAUCAAAUCAUUUCUUAAAUAAAUGUAUUUUCAUUAUAUAACAAAAUCUCGAGAUGUCAUGUUCUGAUACAGACCAAAAGCAUAAACAGUACAUUAUAAGCCUUUCACCAGUUAUUUACAUCCACAGACCUAUAAUCUAAAAUCACUCGUUAUCAUCCAAUUAUGCUCUGGGUCCACUACCUUUAAUACACAGAAAGCUGAGUGAGUCAGGUUUGGGAGCCUGGUGAGCAUAUAGGGUUUUCAACCCACAAUAAAUAAAUUUAUUAGUUUCAUCAAUCAACAAUAAAUUUAUUAAUUUCAUCAACCAACAAUAACCUUGAUUAUCCGUUCCCGUUAUACUCACUUUACGUCCCUAAACACCUAUCAUAAGGGACCUAGCCUAAAGAUUUUCAUCGGGAUGACAACACUGCUUUAGGGAUUCAUCCACAAUUUAUGUCAAAUAAGGCAACCAUAAGGGGGAUGGAGUAUACCGGUGAACACUAAGUUCAAAAACACCUACAAGUUGCGAGCCUACUAGCGUUCCACUAGACUGUCUAGAAAUGUAUGUGGUCGACAUCUAUACUCCGCUAGAUGACUAUAACAACAACAACAUCGAGAUCUCUCAUCAUUUUAUCACACAUCAACUAUUUCAUUUACCCAUGUUUUACCCAACAUAUUUGUAGAUAAAAAUACAUAUACAAUUUAAAACUUGUAUAAAACAUCUAUUCAACACCCAUCUCAAAUAAACAAACAAUAUAUAUACACAUAGCACGUAUUUUAUAGAAAAUAUUUCAUAUCUAUGUGUAAGAUGAAAGUGACUACACACUCACUUGAUAAGACAGUGAUUGGACAUCACUUCGUCCCUUAAAACAAUCUUCUUUGAUAAAACCGGGAUGUUUUCUCAAAAACCGGGCUUCACGCGGCCAGAGUUUUGUCUCGAAAAAUUCUUUUCUCGGGAUCUUCGGGCUCUCCGUGGCUUGCUUACGAUGCUAGGAUAGUACCCUAGGCUUUGGGGGGUUUAGAAUAGGCUAAAAGGGAGUAGAAGGUGAAAGAGAAUGAAAUUUUGUAACAUUAACUCGCCUGACUUCAGAUCCUAUUUAUAGGGACCGAAGCUUCUCAUUACACUAGGCGUAAUUUUCUGGUACGCGGGGUGUACUGCCUCGCAAGGCUCUUCGCUGGGCGUACACCUUCAUACGCUGGUCAUAGGAGUGGAUUACUUGGGACGUGUCAAGGCUACUAACAUGUAGCAAAGCUAGUCCGAGUACGUUGGGCGUACUCGUUUGUACGCUGCGUGUACAAGAUAUGUGUCCUCUGAUCGGGUUCCGACCUCCGGAGGUGUCAAAGCUACUAACUCGUAGCAAAACUAGUCCGAGUACGUUGGGCGUACUCGUUUGUACGCAGGGCGUACUCCUUCGUGAGUUUAUUUUUCAAACUUCAAAAAUUCGUAAAUUUCGCAUACGAACUCCGUUUUUGACGUUCUUUAUAUCCACGCGUAGGUGAGACCGUGCUCUACAACUUUCGUGUAGACUCCGUCGGCUAAUUUUGACUUUAUUUUUAAAGUUAUAUUUUUAACAGGACGGGACAUGAAAAGUCCGUUAAAAAUUCAUAACUUCUUCAUCCGAUGUCUGUUUUCGUCUGUCUUUAUACCGUUUAACCACUAUCGACGAGAUCUUCGUUUCUCGUUUAGGUUGUGUCGGCUAAAAAGUGGUCGAUCUAAAAUUCGAGUUUCGGGAUGCAUACGGUUAUACCAAAUCUUAGAAAAUUAUAAUUUCCUCAUACGAAGUCAGAUUUGGACAUUCUUUUUAUGUACGCUCUCGGUUUAACGUGUACUACAACUUUCAUUUAGAUCGCUAAGGCUAAAAAACACUUUAUCGUAAAUUCACUUUUUACGUCACACAAUGUCGUGCCAGUUCUGUUGCGAAACCUCGACAGAUCAUAAUUUCUUCGUUAUAACUCGGAUUUCGGUAUUCUUUAUAUAUCCGGAAUCCUUGUUUCAACCACUACAACUUCCUUCUUAGAUAUCGGGUUUAUUUAUUUUCGACACUUAUUUUUAUUCUUAGCUUAUUAAAUCAUGAUAAUUAAGUAUAAAACACAUAAUACUCAAAUAAUACAUCUUAUUAUUUCAAAACAAAUUACAAAGGUUGGCCUAGACUAUUACAUCAUCUUUAAUGCCUAGCCUAGAAACACGGACGUUACAAUUCUCUCCCCCUUAGGAUGAUUUUGUCCCCGGAAUCAUACAUCAACAAAUAAAUGCAGAUAACGACUCAUCAUGUCACUCUUCGUUUCCCAGGUGAGAUUUGGCCCAUUCGUAUGUUUCAAUCGCACAAGAACUAAAUCGACCAUCUUGCGUCGCAACUUCUUAGUAUUACGAUCAAUAAUUACCUCUGGUUCUUCUAUUAACCUCUUGCUUUCAUCCAACCUUAGUUCAGAAAUUGGAACUAUGUCGAGAACUUCUCCAGUGAACUUCCUCAAAUAACACACGUAGAAAGUGUUAUGAAUACCAUCUAGUUCUUCUAGUAGUUCUAGAUUGUAAACUUGGUUCCCAAUCCUCUGAAGAACUUUAAACAGUCCAAUAAACCUUGGACUCAACUUUCCCCUUUUACCAAAUCUUAUAAGUCACUUCCAUGGCGAGACUUUAAGUAAAACCGAAUCUCCAACUUUGAAUGUUAUCAGUCGUCUUUUCUUGUCAGCAUAGCUCUUUUGACGAUCCUGAGCUGCUAACAUCCUUUCCCUAAUCACUUUCAGCUUUUCAACAGUUUGAUCGACUAUCUCGGGUCCUAUAAACUGUUUUUCUCCAGCUUCAAGCCAACAUGACGAUGUUCGACACCUUUGUCCAUACAAAGCGUGAUAAGGUGCCAUCUUGAUGCUCGAGUGGAAACUAUUAUUGUAGGAAAAUUCUACCAGAGGUAAAUGUUCAUCCCAGUUACCUUGGAAUUCUAGGGUACAUGCUCUUAGCAUAUCCUCCAAUGUUUGAAUCGUUCGUUCGCUCUGACCAUCAGUUUGUCGAUGGUAGGCUGUACUUAGACACAAUUUCGUACCCAAUUCCUCUUGUAGACUUCUCCAAAACCUCGACGUGAAACGACUAUCACGAUCUGAUAAAAUCGUUAAAGGAAGACCGUGAAGCCUCACUAUUUCCUUCACAUAAGCUUUUUCAAGUUUAUCUAUAGACCAUUUUUCAUAGGCUUUUUUGAAGUGUGCGCUUUUAGUAAACCGAUCAAUGACCACCCAAAUCAUGUUGUGACCGCUCUUCGUUUUGCGCAAUUUAGUCACAAAUUCCAUGGUGACGUCUUUCCCAUUUACCCAUGGGGUACAGAUAAAGGUUCUAAACUCCUAUAUGAUUUUUGAUGUUGUGACUUAACCCUAGCACAUGUCACACACUCGGUCACGUACUUUGCAACAUCGAGCUUCAUCGUUGGCCACCAGUAGUAGGGUUUCAGAUCCCUAUACAUUUUCGUGCUGCCUGAAUGAAUCGGUACAUGGUCUUGUGAGCUUCCUCCAUCAGAAUAUCUCUUAUUCCUCCUGUCUUAGGUACCCAAAUCCUAUCUUGGAAUACCUUCAGUCCUUGACUGUUUAUAUCGAACACUAACGUUUUUCCCAAACGUUCUUCCUUUCGGCAUUUUUCUCUAAAGAUUCUUCUUGAGCUUUCUAGAUACUUUCUACAAUCGUUGAGACAACUUUGAUUCUUAAUUCUCUUGGCCUUUUCUUUUCAAGGCUCACUUUUCUGCUUAAAGCAUCAGCUACAACAUUUGCUUUACUAGGAUGGUAAAGGAUUUCACAAUCUUAAUCCUUAAGCAACUCUAGCCAGCGUCGUUGUCUCAUAUUCAAUUCCUUGUGAUUAAAGAGACACUAAAGACUCUUAUGACCAGUGAAAAGUUUUCACUUUGUGCCAUAAAGAUAAUGCCUCCAUAUCUUUAGGGCAAAUACUACUGCUGCCAACUCCAAAUCAUGAGUGGGGUAGUUCUUUUCAUGUUCUUUCAAUUGUCUCGAUGCAUAUGCUAUCACUUUAUCCCUUUGGGUCAGAACACAACCUAACCUAACUCCAGAUGCAUCGCUAUAAAUUGUGAAGUCUUCAACUCCUUCAGGUAAAGAAAGAAUCGAUGCUUCACACAAUUUCUUCUUUAACUUCUCAAAUGCUUCCUUAUUCCUUAUGCUUCUCACUCCAAGUAUAUGUAGUUCAUUUAUGGGUCAAAGCUGUUAAUGGAGCAGCUAUCGAAGAAAAGCCUUGGAUAAAUCUUCGGUAAUAUCCGGUUAAUCCUAGAAAGCUUCGGAUCUCCAUGGGACUUUUCGGUUGUUCCCACUUCAUUAUAGCUUCAAUCUUCGUUGGGUCAACCAUGAUCCCUUCUUGGUUAACCACAUGGCCCAAAAAUUGGACUUCUUGAAUCCAAAAAUCACAUUUCGAAAACUUUGCAUAUAGCUUCUCCUUUUUUCAGAACUUCUAACACUUCUCACAGAUGCUUGUCAUGUUCCUGCUUGCUUUUUGAAUAAAUCAAAAUACCUUCUAUGAACACUAUCACGGAUUUAGCGAGGAAUGGUUUACAAACCCUGUUCAUGAAAUCCAUGAAUGCUGUUGGAGCAUUGAUUAGUCCAAACGACAUAACCAAGAACUCAUAGUGUCCAUAUCUUGUUCUAAAUGCAGUAUUCUCAAUAUCCCACUCUCUCACCUUUAGCUGAUGAUAUCCUGACCUAAGAUCGAUCUUUGAGAAGUUGCUCGAACCUUGCAGUUGAUCGAACAAGUCAUCAAUCCUUGGCAACGGGUACUUGUUCUUUAUUGUUGCCUUGUUCAACUCUCUGUAAUCUAUGCACAUUCUCAUGCUCCCAUAUUUCUUCUUUAUAAAUAACAUCGAAGCUCCCCAAGGUGAUGAACUAGGUCUAAUGAAACCAUUGUCCAACAACUCCUGAAGUUGCGUCAUAAGCUCCUUCAUCUCUGUCGGUGCUAAUCGAUAUGGUGUUUUUUAUAUUGGUGUUGUUCCUGGUAACAAGUCUAUUCUAAAGUCCACUUGUCUAUCAGGGGGCAAUCCAGGAAGAUUUUCGAGGAAAACUUCUGGAAAAUCACACACCACUGGUAUACUUUGCAUAUCCUUUUUCUCCUUCUUAGCAUCGAUCACGAAUGCCAAGUAUAAGGUGCAUCCUUUAGACAAACAUUUUAUGGCUUUCAUUAGGGAAAUGAUUCCGGAAUUUAAUCUGCGCUUGUCUCCGUAUACCAUAACGGACUCUUUUCCAGGCGAGUUUACCCUCAUUAUCUUUUUCUUGCAUAGUAUCUUGGCAUCAUUAGCACUAAGCCAAUUCAUCCCUAGAAUGAUGCUGAAACCAUUCAACUCAGUGGGUAACAACUCCUCGUGGAAUUCGUUUUCGUUCGAGUCAAUAAUGAUAUUCUUAAUAUAAUUGCUAAAAGGUAUGAAUUUGCCACUAGCAACUUCUAAAAUUAGGGAAUUAUCAAGUUUUUCUUUAAGCAAUGCUAGUCUUUCGCCAAAUUUAUGUGAUAUAAAGGAGUAAUUCGCUCCGAAAUCAAAAAAUAAAUUGGUAGGCAAUCCAUUUACAAGAAAGGUACCUGAAGCGACAUCCGCUGCAUCCUUUGCGACUUCCAAUGUCAUCUGGAAAGCUCUGACUUUUGGCUUUGGUGGGAAAUUAGGCCUUGCUGCAUCCUUUUUCUUUGGGCAAUCCUUCAAAAUGUUCCCUUCUUCGUGGCAUCCAUAGCACACCCUUUUGUUGGAUGUGCACUCGUUGGCGUAGUGCCCUGUCUUUCCAUAUUUAAAACAAGUGACCUCCUCGCCACAUUUCCCAACAUGUUUCUUCUUAUAUUUAUCACACCAUUUUGGUUUGCCUCUUCUUCCUCUCGAAUCAGACUUCGAGAAUUUACUUUUAUUGUUGGACCUCGAAGAUCCAUCAAACUUUCUUUUCCCACCAACCUCUACCCUCUCCUGAACCCCUUCCUUUAACUGGGUUUCCACAUUUUUAGCUGUUCGGACUGCUAUCUUAAGAGUAGCUGCCAUCUUGACCGUUUGAACAAAGUCAGCUGGCAGUCCGUUUGCAAACCUCCCAAUUUUUUAGAGUUCAGUUGGCACUACGUUUGGAAAUAACUUCAUCUUUUCGGUAAACGCAAUAGUAUAGUCGUCAUUGCUCAUUUUCCCUUUCUUCAAGUUCUGAAAUUCAUUGUUUCGAUCUAUCAGAUCUAUCUCUAAGCAGUACUGCAACUUUAACUGCUCCAAGAACAUUUCCCAAGACAUUUUCAGGGCUUCUUCAUGUAGCAUCGUGUCUGCCAAUAACUUCCACCAACUUAAAACUCCGGUCUUCAGUUGUCUGACCGCAAAAAGAGUUUUCUGCUUGUCGCUACAGUUGCAACUUUCAAAUACCAUCUCCAUUUUGGAGAUCCAGUCCAUAAUCUCUACAGGUUUUAGGCUUUCGGCAAGACUUGGCAGUUUGCCUGUAACAACGUAAAUUUUCAAAACGAUUUUUUAUUUUUCAAACAACAUAAUUAUCUUUAAACAUUCUCAAAUUACAUGAUCAACACUUGUUAUCAAAUAAAACAUAUCCCAAGAUCAUAAAUGAAAUCCUCUGACUGUGUGUGUACGGAUCACGCUGGCGCCUUCCCACGGUCGUCACUAGUACCUGAAACACAUAACACAACAACUGUAAGCAUAAAUGCGUAGUGAGUUCCCCAAAAUACUGCAUACAACACAUGUGCCACUCAAGGCUACAGUACGACCCUCCAGUCGAUGUGUCUCAGCGGGACCCUCCAGUCCCGAAGCUCGUUGGACCCUCUAGUCCGGUCAUAGCUCGUUGGGCCUUUCGGCCCAGUCUGUAUCGUUGGACCCUCCGGUCCGGUCUAUAUAAUCAUAUAACAUACAUAUAUCACAUAGCACAUAAUCUCAUACAUAUCACAUAAGACCCUCCAGUCAACACAUAAAUACCACUCUAUGUAACGUAUAGUGAGAAGACUCAUCUCGAGUAACUCGGUAAUCUCGAACUCUAUGAAAUCGGGUCUAGCCUCCGCCUAAUCAUAUGAAAUAAACACUCUACAUCAAUACAUUUCCCAAGGCUAGACCAUUUCCUCUCUUAUCACUCUCGGGAGGGUAAUAGACCAUUUUACCCUUCUCAUGGCUCAAAGACCCUAGAGUUGACCAAACCCUAAAAGUCACGUUAACCAAACUCGCUGAGUGCACUUAUGUGACUCGGCGAGUUCAUGCAUGUCCUCUUCAUCCCUGUUCCUCCCUCAACUUUCUGAGUCACCCCUCAACUCACCGGGUCAUCGCUGGAGUCAGACCUCAUGGCAACCCGGUCCAACUCGUCGAGUCCAUAUAUGAACUCCACGAGUUUCCUCCAUGGACUUGCUCAAACAACCUCCUGAGGUCAAAUCCGCUUAACCAAUUCAUAGAUCUAACCUUUAAAAAAUCGAAAGUCACGUAAAGGUGCAACCUUUACGUGCAUGCAACUCAUAUCAAGCCCCAAAUGGAGAAAUAAUGCUAGAAAUGGCAACCUAGCCUCCAAUUCCUUGUUUGCUUGCAAAAGCUGGAAGAUAAUGGCUCUAAGGACCUCUCAUGGUCCAGAUCUGAGGUUAUUCAUACCAAGGGGACCUUAUGCUCACUAGAUCUCAUAAAAUCAUGAGGAAAAACCCUAAAACUAUGAAUCCCACCAUAUGAACGUGAAAUGGAAAGAAUUUUACAUCCAAAGACAAUAUCUCACGGUGAUUAGCUUCAAUCCAAGCUCCCUUCACGAACUAGAUGGAUCGUCUCUUCUUUCUCUAGCAAAACCACACAAAAGAUGAAGAAAUAGGCUCCUCUUGCCCUCAAACACGCUAUCUCUGCUCUCUAGGGUUUCUCUGGAACAAGGUGGCCGCAAAUGAAGGCCAUAUGGGUCCUUAAAUAGGCUCCCAAGCCCGGGGAUUAGGGUUUCACUUUACAGCGCGGACUCGCCGAGUCCACGAAUCGACUCGUUGAGUCCGGUCAUUAAUCUAGCCAAGAACUCGCGGUCCUACUCGGCGAGUCUAAGCGUCAACUCGUCGAGUCCUUCCACAAAACUCAAAAAUAAAAUUUUAAAAUAAUAUACCUAGGAAUCCGGAUGUUACAAUUCUCCCCCACUAGAAUCCGACAUCGCCCUGGAAGUUUUGCUCUGCAAACAACUCUAGAUGCUGCUCAUGCAUCUCCAACUCCGGCUCCCAAGUCAGCUUAGACCCUCUCCGAUGUUGCCACUAAACCAGCACGAGGGACACCUCUUUGUUCCUCAGAACCUUGAUCUUCCGAUCCACAAUCGCAACUGGCCUCUCAACAUAAUUCAGGCUGACAUCCACCUGAAUAUCCUCUAAUGGCACCACCGUCGAUUCGUCGGCUAUACACUUCCUUAGUUGAGACACAUGGAAGGUAUCAUGAAUCUAGCUCAGCUCCGCAUGUAGCUCCAAUCGAUAUGCCACUCUGCCCACCCUCACGAUCACCCUGAAUGGUCCGAUGUAUCGGGGCCCCAAUUUGCCCCUCUUCCUGAAUCGGAUCACUCCUUUCCAAGGAGAUACCUUCAGGAGCACAAAAUCUCCAACCUGAAACUCGAGCUCUAAUCGACGCCUAUCCUGGUAACUCUCCUGGUGACUCUGGGCCGUCAACAAUCUCUGUCUAACCUAUUGUAUCUGCUUGGUUGUCUGAAGCACUAUCGCAGUGCUGCCCAUCACUCGCUGCCUUACCUCUCCCCAACAAAUAGGAGUCUGACACCUUCUCUCAUACAACAACUCAAAGGGAGGCAUACCGAUGUUCGAAUGGUGGCUGUUGUUAUAGGAAAACUCAGCCAAGGGCGAAUACGUGUCCCAACUUCCUCCGAAGUCCAACACACAUGCCCGAAGCAUGUCUUCGAGCGUCUGAAUCGUCCGUUCACUCUGUUCGUCCGUCUGUGGGUGGUAAGCGGUACUGAAAUGCAACCUAGUAACCAAAUCCUCAUGAAACUUCUUCCAAAACCUGGAAGUGAAAAGCACAUCCCGAUCCGACACAAUCGAGAUUGGUACACCAUGUCGCGAUACCACCUCCCACACAUACACCUCGGCCAACCUUUCCGCGGAAGAGCUCUUAUCGAUAGCAAAUAAAUGAGCGCUCUUCGUCAACCGAUCAACGAUCACCCAAAUUGCGUCAACACCUCUCACGGUCCUCGGCAAUUUGGUGAUGAAAUCCAUAGAAAUCUGCUCCCAUUUGCAUUGAGGAACCUCAAGUGGUUGCAACAUGCCAUGCGGACGCUGGUGCUCGACCUCAACCCUACAACAGGUCAAGCACCUCUCCACGAACCACGCCACAUCCCUCUUCAUACAGGGCCACCAGUACUCUCGCUUCAGGUCCAAAUACAUCUUGGUGGCCCCUGGAUGAAUCGAAAACCUCGAUCUAUGUGCCUCCUCCAUCAGAAUGGUACACACUCCACCUGCAAACGGUACCCAAAUCCGACCCUGAAAGGUCAAAAGCCCUCGACUAUCGGUGGUGAACUCAGACACCUGCCCGAUCACCCACUCUCUCUUGCGGUUCUCUGGUAAUACGGCCUCCACCUGGGCCUCCCGAAUGGUGUCCAACACCGGCGUCAUGACUGUCAGUCACAUGUAGAUAUCUCGAAUAGGGGUACUCUCUGCCCUACGACUCAGAGCAUCAGCUACAACAUUAGCUUUGCCCGGGUGGUACAGGAUUUCAUAAUCGUAAUCCUUUACCACGUCCAACCAUCUUCGCUGACGCAUGUUCAGGUUUGGCUGAUCCAUUAAAUACUUUAAUUUCUUGUGGUCCGUGUAUAUGGUACACCGAACCCCAUACAAAUAGUGACGCCAGAUCUUGAGGGCAAAUACCACAACCCCUAGUUCCCGAUCGUGAGUAGGAUACCUCGUCUCAUGAGGCUUCAACUGCCUUGACGCGUAUGCUAUCACAUGCCCUCUCUGCAUUAGCACCGCCCCCAGUCUCGAUAUCGAUGCGUCACAAUAUACCACAAAGUCCUCCAUUCCCUCCGGAAGGGCCAACACUGGGGCUUCUCACAAUAUCUGGCGAAGUUUCUCGAUUGAGGCUUGCUGCUCUGGACCCUAACUAAAAAUCACGCCCUUCCGGGUCAACCUGGUGAUAGUAACCGUAAUCUUGGAGAAAUCUUUGAUAUAUCUCCGAUAAUAGCCGGACAAUCCCAGAAAGCUCCUGAUCUCGGUCGGUGAUCUCGGCACCUCCCAUCUCAUAACCGCCUCAAUUUUGGCCAGAUCGACCAAUAUCCCCUCCUGGUUAAUGAGGUGUCCCAAGAACUGGACCUCUCAUAACCAAAAAUCACACUUGUCGAAUUUGGCGUAAAGCCUCUUCGAUCUCAAUGCUCCGAGAAUCUCCCUCAGAUGCUCCUCGUGCUGCUCUCUAGAUCUCAAAUACACCAAAAUAUCCUCAAUGAACACAAUCACCGAUCGAUCCAGCAUCGGCCUGCACACCCUGUUCAUGAGAUCCAUGAACGCUGUCGGUGCAUUGGUGAGCCCAAAAGGCAUCACCACGAACUCGUAAUGCCCAUAAUGAGUUAUGAACGCCAUCUUCUGGAUAUCUUCAUCCCGAACCCUCAUCUGAUGAUUUCCCGACCUCAAGUCCAUCUUGGAGAACCAAGAUGCUCCCUGCAACUGAUCAAAUAGAUCAUCAAUCCUCAGUAACAGAUAUCAGUUCUUGACCGUUAACUUGUUCAACUCCUGGUAAUCAAUGCACAUCCGGUGUGAACCAUCCUUUUUCUUGACAAAAAGGAUCGGUGCUCCCCAAUGUGAGCUACUCGGUCUAAUAAACCCCUUUCCCAGCAGCUCCUGAAGCUGCGAGGAUAACUCCUGCAUCUCUGGCGGUGCAAGGCGAUAGGGUGCCUUAGCAAUAGGCGCCGCUCCAGGAACUAAAUCGAUGCGAAACUCCACUUGCCUCUUGGGAGCCACACCUGGUAGCUCCUCGGGGAAAACGUCAGGGAACUCUCGCACUAUCGGUACCUCAUCAACCAAUUUCGGCCUCUCCACUGCCGCUCGUGUGUCCAUCACGUAGGCCACAAACCCACUACAACCCUGUUGUAGACUCUGCCUCGCCCUAGCAGCUGAACAAAAUGCUGACUCGAGACGGGUACCCUUUCCAUACAUCGUAAGCACUCCCCCACUAGGGUCUCGUAUCGUCACCAACUAUCACUCGCAGUCUAUAACAGCCCCAAAAUGGCUCAACCAAUCCAUGCCCACUAUAACACAAAUGUCCCCCAUCGUAAUCGGGACCAGAUCAAUCGGGAAAUCGACACCGAAGAUCUUGAGUACACAUCCCCGAAUCACCUCAGUAGCAUAAACCGCUCGCUCGUCAGCUAUGGAAACCCGAAGAGGUCGACUCAAUGCCUCUCGACAAAUACAGAUAUGGCAACAAAAAGCUAACGACACAAAAGAUCGACUCGCACCCGAGUCAAAUAGCACCAAGGCAGGUACAAAAUUCACAAGAAAAGUACCUACGCAUAUCAUAAUAUAAGCAUAAUAUCUCAGACUCAAAAUAAAUAGAGGGGAGAAUACAUACCAGCCACAACGUCGGGUGCUGCGCGGACCUCCUCCGCUGUCAACUGGAAGGCUCUCCCGCGAGCCUUCAGUGCCUCGGCCUUCGCUGGCUGAACCUCGGUAGCUCUCGCAGCAGGCGCAGAUCCCUACACUGAUCCCUGAUGUAGCUGCGGGCACUCGACCUUCCGAUGGCUGGUCUGGUUGCAAUGAAAGCAAACCGAGAAUCCCUUGGGGCAAUCCCUCGUGAUAUGCCCCUCCUUCCCAUACUUUUAACAUACUCCAAGUCUGCAUGUCCCCUAGUGACUCUUGUUGCACUUCCCACAAGUGCGGCCCUUCGUACCCCCAGAUCUCGAAUCAGCGGGCUUUGCCCGCUUGGCUGUCGGCUGAGACUGUGCCGGCCGCCGAUCCUUUCCCUGAGACUCCGCCUCCUCCCUGGCCUGAGUCUCAAACUCGAUCUCCCUCUUACAAGCAUUUGCCCAGAGCUCGGCAAAUGUCCGAUAAGUCGAGUUCGCCACAAACUCACGAAUUUCUCUCCUCAGAACACUCCGAUAUCGGCUCAUGCGUGCCUGCUUGGUAGACACCUGCUCAGGGCAAAACAUCGCCCUCUCAUGAAACUUCCGGGUAAUCACUAUAACUGAAUCAGUACCCUGCUUGAGGGUCAAAAACUCCUGAGCCAAUCAUUCCCUUUCCACAGGGGGAACGUACUCAUCACGAAACAUGGUGGUGAACCUUUCCCAGGUCACCGUAGUAAGCUCAGCUGGGGUGAAAUCUGCCGAUACAAAUUUCCAUUAUUCCUUCGCCCCCAGGCGAAGCUGGUUCAGCGCGAACCGCACCCUCAAAUGCUUUGGACACGAGCAAGUGUAGAAACAUCCCUCAACAUCCGCAAUCCAUCUCAUCGUAGCGAUCGGAUCCUGUGUCCCAUCAAACUCUGGUGGCUUCGUGUUGCUGAACUCCCAGUACAGCAACGAAUCGCUCCCCUGCGGCCUGGCAGCAGCGACGGCUGCGGUGGCCGUAGCAACAACAACAUCAGUAAGAGCGGCAUACCGCUCAUCAAAAGUCUCAAUCAACGUGGUCUUGAUAGACCCGAACAUCUUUGGUAUCUCAGCUCGUAUGGCCGCUGCCACUUCCUCAUGAAUCUACCGACGGAUCUCCUCGUCACUAACACUGCUGCACCCAGGUGUAUGUCGUGUCCCACCCAUGGUGUCUCUGAAAUACAACAUAAAAACAUCAGAGACUCGUUCGAGCAUACUCGCACUCGAUAACGCGACCAUACUCGUCCCCUAGUAUCCUAAGGAUUCUUACUUGGACUGCUCACUGAUCCGGUGUCUUUAGUAGUACGGGCCCUAUACUACCUACCACACCGCAUCAGUAUUCACCCCAAGUCCUUCUCCUUGGAUCCCAUAUCACAAGUACUCUACUCUCGCCAUACAUAGACUACCGUCCGGUAGACCUCUCAUAAGCUCCUUGCUGCUACCUACUCACUCUCAAGGCAUCUCAUAGCAGCAGUAAUCUCCUAGGCUAAGGCAUCACAAAUCAGGCCACUCUAGUCCAGUCAACACAUAAAUACCACUCUAUGUAACGUAUAGUGAGAAGACUCAUCUCGAGUAACUCGGUAAUCUCGAACUCUGUGAAAUCGGGUCUAGCCUCCGCCUAAUCAUAUAAAAUAAACACUCUACAUCAAUACAUUUCCCAAGGCUAGACCAUUUCCUCUCUUAUCACUCUCAGGAGGGUAAAAGACCAUUUUAUCCUUCUCAUGGCUCAAAGACCCUAGAGUUGACCAAACCCUAAAAGUCAACAAAAGUCAAUGGUCAAACGUUGACCAGACUCGCCGAGUCUACUUAUAUGACUAGGUGAGUUCAUGCAUAUCCUCUUCAUCCCUGGUCCUCCCUUAACUUUCUGAGUCACCCCUCAACUCACCGGGUCAUUACUGGAGUCAAACCUCAGGGCAACCCGGUCCAACUCGUCGAGUCCACAUAUGAACUCGACGAGUUUCAUCCAUGGACUUGCUCAAACAACCUCCUGAGGUCAGAUCUGCUUAACCAAUUCAUAGAUCUAACCUUUAAACACUCUAAAGUCACGUAAAGGUGCAACCUUUACGUGCAAGCAACUCAUAUCAAGCCCCAAAUGGAGAAAUAAUGCUAGAAAUCGCAACCUAGCCUCUAAUUCCUUAUUUUCUUGCAAAAAGCUGGAAGAUAAUGGCUCUAGGGACCUCUCAUGGUCCAGAUCUGAUGUUAUUCAUACCAAGGGGACCUUAUGCUCACUAGAUCUCAUAAAAUCAUGAGGAAAAACCCUAAAACUAUGAAUCCCACCAUAUGAACGUGAAAUGGGAAGAAUUUUACCUCCAAAGACAAUAUCUCACGGUGAUUAGCUUCAAUCCAAGCUCCCUUCAUGAUCUAGAUGGAUCGUCUUUUCUUUCUCUAGCAAAACCACACAAAAGAUGAAGAAAUAGGCUCCUCUUGCCCUCAAACACGCUAUCUCUGCUCUCUAGGGUUUCUCUGGAACAAGGUGGCCACAAAUGAAGGCCAUAAGAGUCCUUAAAAAGGCUUCCAAGCCCGGGGAUUAGGGUUUCACUUUAAAGUGCGGACUCGCCGAGUCCACGAAUCGACUCGUCGAGUCCGGUCAUUAAUCUAGCCAAGAACUCACGGUCCAACUCGGCGAGUCUAAGUGUCAACUCGCCGAGUCCUUCCACAAAACUCAAAAAUAAAUUUUUAAAAUAAUAUACCUGGGAAUCCGGAUGUUACAAUUCUCCCCCACUAGAAUCGGAUGCUGCUCAUGCAUCUCCAACUCGACGAGUCUAAGCGCCAACUCGCCCUCGAAGUCUUGCUCUGCAAACAAAUCUAGAUGCUGCUCAUGCAUCUCCAACUCUGGCUCCCAAGUCAGCUCAGACCCUCUCCGAUGUUACCACUGAACUAGCACCAGGGGCACCUCUUUGUUCGUCAGAACCUUGAUCUUCCGAUCCACAAUCGCAACUGGCCUCUCAACAUAAUUCAGGCUGGCAUCCACCUGAAUAUCCUCUAAUGGAACCACCGUCGAUUCGUCGGCUAUACACUUCCUUAGUUGAGACACAUGGAAGGUAUCAUGAAUCUGGCUCAGCUCCGCAGGUAGCUCCAAUCGAUAUGCCACUCUGCCCACCCUUGCGAUCACCCUGAACGGUCCGAUGUAUCGGGGCCCCAAUUUGCCCCUCUUCCUGAAUCGGAUCACUGCUUUCCAAGGAGACACCUUCAGGAGCACAAAAUCUCCAACCUAAAACUCGAGCUCUGAUCGAUGCCUAUCCGCGUAACUCUUCUGGUGACUCUGGGCCGUCAGCAAUCUCUGUCUAACCUGUUGUAUCAGCUCGAUUGUCUGAAGCACUAUCGCAUUGCUGCCCAUCACUCGCUGCCCUACCUCUCCCCAACAAAUAGGAGUCCGACACCUUCUCCCAUACAACAACUCAAAGGGAGACAUACUGAUGCUCGAAUGGUGGCUGUUGUUAUAGGAAAACUCAGCCAAGGGCAAAUAUGUGUCCCAACUUCCUCCGAAGUCCAACACACAUGCCCGAAGCAUGUCUUCGAGCGUCUGAAUCGUUCGUUCACUCUAUCCGUCCGUCUGUGGGUGGUAAGCGGUACUGAAAUGCAACCUAGUAACCAAAUCCUCAUGAAACUUCUUCCAAAACCUGGAAGUGAAAAGCACAUCCCAAUCCGACACAAUCGAGAUUGGUACACCAUGCCGCGAUACCACCUCCCUCACAUACACCUCGGCCAACAUUUCCGUGGAAGAGCUCUUACUGAUAGCAAGGAAAUGAGCGCUCUUUGUCAACCGAUCAACGAUCACCCAAAUUGCGUUAACACCUUUCACGGUCCUCGGCAAUUUGGUGAUGAAAUCCAUAGAAAUCUGCUCCCAUUUCCAUUAGGGAACCUCAAGUGGUUGCAAAUUCCCAUGUGGACGCUGGUGCUCGGCCUUAACCCUACGACAGGUCAUGCACCUCUCCACGAACCACGACAUAUCCCUCUUCAUACAGGGCCACCAGUACUCUCGCUUCAGGUCCAAAUACAUCUUGAUGGCCCCUGGAUGAAUCGAAAACCUCGAUCUAUGCGCUUCCUCCCUCAGAAUGGUAUGCGAUCCACCAGAAAACGGUACCCAAAUCCGACCCCUUAAAGGUCAAAAGCCCUCGACUAUUGGUGGUGAACUCAGACACCUGCCCGAUCACCCGCUCUCUCUUGCAGUUCUCUGGUAAUACGACCUCCACCUGGGCCUCCCGAAUGGUGUCCAACACCGGCGUCAUGACUGUUAGUCGCAUGCGGAUAUCUCGAAUCGGGGUACGCUCUGCCCUACGGCUCAAAGCAUUAGGUACAACAUUAGCUUUGCCCGGGUGGUACAGGAUUUCACAAUAGUAAUCCUUUACCACAUCCAACCAUCUUCGCUGACGCAUGUUCAGGUUUGGCUGAUCCAUCAGAUACUUUAAGUUCUCGUGGUCCGUGUANCCCGAUCACCCACUCUCUCUUGCGGUUCUCUGGUAAUACGGCCUCCACCUGGGCCUCCCGAAUGGUGUCCAACACCGGCGUCAUGACUGUCAGUCACAUGUAGAUAUCUCGAAUAGGGGUACUCUCUGCCCUACGACUCAGAGCAUCAGCUACAACAUUAGCUUUGCCCGGGUGGUACAGGAUUUCACAAUAGUAAUCCUUUACCACAUCCAACCAUCUUCGCUGACGCAUGUUCAGGUUUGGCUGAUCCAUCAGAUACUUUAAGUUCUCGUGGUCCGUGUAUAUGGUACACCGAACCCCAUACAAAUAGUGACGCUAGAUCUUGAGGGCGAAUACCACAGCCUUUAGUUCCAGAUCGUGAGUAGGAUACCUCGUCUCAUGAGGCUUCAACUGCCUCAACGCGUAUGCUAUCACAUGCCCUCUCUGCAUUAGCACUGCCCCCAGUCUCGAUAUCGAUGCAUCACAAUAUACCACAGAGUCCUCCAUUCCCUCUGGAAGGGCCAACACUGGGGCUUUGCACAAUCUCUGGCGAAGUGUCUCGAAUGAGGCCUGCUGCUCUGGACCCCAACUAAAAAUCACGCCUUUCCGGGUCAACCUGGUGAGAGGAAUCGCAAUCUUGGAGAAAUCUAUGAUAAAAAUGAAGGCCAUAAGGGUCCUUAAAUAGGCUCCCAAGCCUGGGGAUUAGGGUUUCACUUUACAGCGCGGACUCGCCAAGUCCACUAAUCGACUCGUCGAGUCCGGUCAUUAAUCUAGCCAAGAACUCGCGGUCCUACUUGGCGAGUCUAAGCGUCAACUCGCCGAGUCCUUCCACAAAACUCAAAAAUAAAUGUUUAAAAUAAUAUACCUGGGAAUCCGGAUAUUACAUUGGCUCCCAAGAAAUUCUUAUACAUACGCCCAUCUCUGUUGAUUUCCCUCUCCGAGUGAUUUCUUUCUGCCACCCGCUUGACUAAUAGUACGACUGUAAUUUCCUUCCUCUGACUGCCUGUCAUUUAGUUCAGGUUGUUCAACCGGCAUUGAAGGUUCACUCCUGUUGUUCAACAAUAUUUGUCUCAUUUCCUCCCUUUGUUUAACCAUCAUUGUCUAAAUCAUGGCUUGUACUCCAUCCAUUGUGAUCGGUUCUGGUGCAGCUUCUGUUAUAGGCACCUGUUCCAUCACUUGGGGUUGAGGUUGUUGAUUUCUAUUUGCAUUUUCAGGUCCACUUUGGGUUCUUUCCAUUUUGAUCUAUACACCAAAUUAGGCGAAUUUAGAUCUUUAUUCACGAUAGAUUUUAAAAUUCUCCUUAUCACUCCGAAACAUUACAUGCUAGUUCUAAUAUCAUAGCCGUACGCUUAGAAUCCUGAACACAUAAGGUUUCCAAAUCCGAUCGGCACCAAACCAUAGAUCCAAACAAAUAACAUCAUAUAUGGCAAACAUAUAGCAUUUAGCACAUAAAAGCAUUUUAGGCAUCUUUCCUAAAAUAUACUAGUGCUCGUGUCUAAAAUAUGGUAGACACUCAUCUCACGAUCAUCACUUAGCAUUGUAACUUUUAGUCUAGAAAUCCUACAAAUUCCUAGUUCACUUAAACUAAUGCUCUAAUACCAACUGUGACAUCCGUAAAUUUUUCGGCCAGAAAAGACCGAUUUAGUUUAUGCUUUUAAAGUAAAGUCAAAGUAAUCUUCCAAAAGCUGUUGUGGAAUUUGUCCCCAAAACAAAAUAUGAUAAAAAUUUAUCAAAUCAUUUCUUAAAUAAAUGUAUUUUCAUUAUAUAACAAAACCUCGGGAUGUCAUGUUCCGAUACAGACCAAAAGCAUAAACAGUACAUUAUAAGCCUUUCAACAGUUAUUUACAUCUACAGACCUAUUAUCCAAAAAUCACUCGUCAUCAUCCAAUUAUGCUCUGCGUCCACUACCUUUAAUACACAGAAAGCUGAGUGAGUCAGGUUUGGGAGCCUGGUGAGCAUAUAGGGUUUUCAACCCACAAUAAAUAAAUUUAUUAGUUUCAUCAAUCAACAAUAAAUUUAUUAAUUUCAUCAACCAACAAUAACCUUGAUUAUCCGUUCCCAUUAUCCUCACUUUACGUCCCUAAACACCUAUCAUAAGGGACCUAGCCUAAAGAUUUUCAUCGGGGUGACAACACUGCUUUAGGGAUUCCUCAGCAAUUUAUGUCAAAUAAGGCAACCAUGAGGGGGAUGGAGUAUACCGGUGAACACUAAGUUCAAAAACACCUACAAGUUGCGAGCCUACUAGCGUUCCACUAGACUGUCUAGAAAUGUAUGUGGUCGACAUCUAUACUCCGUUAGAUGACUAUAACAACAACAACAUCGAGAUCUCUCAUCAUUUUAUCACACAUCAACGAUUUCAUUUACCCAUAUUUUACCCAACAUAUUUGUAGAUAAAAAUACAUAUACAAUUUAAAACUUGUAUAAAACAUCUAUUCAACACCCAUCUCAAAUAAACAAACAAUAUAUAUACACAUAACACGUAUUUUAUAGAAAAUAUUUCAUAUCUAUGUGUAAGAUGAAAGUGACUACACACUCACUUGAUAAGACAGUGAUUGGACAUCACUUCGUCCCUUAAAACAAUCUUCUUUGAUAAAACCGGGAUGUUUUCUCAAAAACCGGGCUUCACGCGGCCAGAGUUUUGUCUCGAAAAAUUCUUUUCUCGGGAUCUUCGGGCUCUCCGUGGCUUGCUUACGAUGCUAGGAUAGUACCCUAGGCUUUGGGGGGUUUAGAAUAGGCUAAAAGGGAGUAGAAGGUGAAAGAGAAUGAAAUUUUGUAACAUUAACUCGCCUGACUUCAGAUCCUAUUUAUAGGGACCGAAGCUUCUCAUUACACUGGGCGUAAUUUCCUGGUACGCGGGGUGUACUGCCUCUCAAGGCUCUUCGAUGGGCGUACACCUUCGUACGCUGGGCAUAGGAGUGGAUUACUUGGGACGUGCCAAGGCUACUAACAUGUAGCAAAGCUAGUCCGAGUAUGUUGGGCGUACUCAUUUGUACGCUGCGUGUACAAGAUAUGUGUCCUCUAAUCGGGUUCCGACCUCCGGAGGUGUCAAAGCUACUAACUCGUAGCGAAACUAGUCCGAGUACGUUGGGCGUACUCGUUUUUACGCGGGGCGUACUCCUUCGCGAGUUUAUUUUUCAAACUUCAAAAAAUUCAUAAAUUUCGCAUACAAACUCCGUUUUUGACGUUCUUUAUAUCCACGCGUAGGUGAGACCGUGCUCUACAACUUUCGGGUAGACUCCUUUGGCUAAUUUUGACUUUAUUUUUAAAGUUAUAUUUUUAAUAGGCCGGGACAUGAAAUGUCCAUUAAAAAUUCAUAAUUUCUUCAUCCGACGUCCGUUUUCGUCUGUCUUUUUACCGUUUAACCACUAUCGACGAGAUCUUCGUUUCUCGUUUAGGUUUUGUCGGCUAAAAAGUGCUCGAUCUAAAAUUCGAGUUUCGGGAUGCAUACGGCUAUACCAAAUCUUAGAAAAUUCAUAACUUCCUCAUACGAAGUCAGACUUGGACAUUCUUUUUAUGUACGCUCUCGGUUUAACGUGUACUGCGACUUUCAUUUAGAUCGCUAAUGCUAAAAAGCACUUUAUCAUAAAUUCACUUUUUAUGUCACACAACGUCGUGUUGGUUCUGUUGCGAAACUCCGACAUGUCAUAACUUCUUCGUUAUAACUCGGAUUUCGGUAUUCUUUAUAUCUCCGAAAUCCUUGUUUCAACCACUAGAAUGUUCUUCAUCUAUAUCGGGUUUAUUUAUUUUCGAUGCUUUUUUUAUUCUUAACUUAUUAAAUCAUAAUAAUUACGUAUAAAACACACAAUACUCAAAUAAUACAUCUUAUUAUUUGCAAAACAAAUUACAAAGGUUGGCCUAGAAUAUUACAUCAUCUUUAAUGGCUAGCCUAGAAACACGGGCGUUCCUACGAGUAUCACACUGAAUAUCAGUAUCAGCAAGAGUAAUAUAAUCAAUAAAGGUAUUGGCUGAGGAAACAGAGAACAUAUCCGACACAUCGACAAGCCAAUCCAAUCUGUCAAAUCUAUCAAGGAGUCGAACAUUCUGAACCACUUCUAUAAACUCAUCCCAUUAACUCUGUUCAAUACCACCCCUAGGUAACCGACGUAGAUUACUCGGAUCCCAUCCUAUAAGAAAUCUCUCUUUCACAUAUUUGUCUCUAUACACAUCCAACACAAAGACUCUAUGGAAAAUCGCUGCAAGAGAAAUAUCAUAAAUCCACUUAUCAUGCCAAAAACUAGUAAAAGCACCAUCUCCAACUCUAGUCAGACAAAGGCUGAGGAGAUCUAUCCCCCUGUCCUGGAGAUUAGCAAUCAUACGAAUGAGACUAUUCCACGAUCCUGAAUAAGAACGACGAGAAGACAAAGUAGUAAGACCACCAUCCAAACCAUACAUCAUAAUAGUAGCUGGAAUAGGAUUAUGAAGCCAAGAACGUCAUUUUUUUGUAAAAAACUUGGCUUUUGUACACCUACUAUAAAUCCAAAAAAAAGACUUAUAAACAACAUCAUCAAAAAUCAUGUAUUUCCUAGGGAUAGCUGCUCCGAAAAGCGUUGGAUUUCUAAAAUUUCAAAUGCACCAAAAGGAGGUCAAGAUCACUGUAUCAAAAGCUUUACGCUGACCGAUUCUCAAAGAGGUAGAAGUUUCCCAAUUGAUAAGAGAGUCCAUUAUAAUCUGAGAGGGAAGAGUAACGCCCCACCAAACCGCCAUACAUGAACAUAAAGCAAUCAAUCCAAUACACUCUACAAAAAUAUGAUCAACAAUCUCCACUCUAGAGGAACAAAGGGGACAAAGAAUAGAAUCCACCAAAAUACCCCUAUAAGAUAAACGUUCGCUAGUAGGGAUACUAGAAAUUCUAACCCUCCAAAUAAGAAUAUUGAUCUUAAUUGGAAUCCAAUUGUUCGAACAAGUAGAAAUACCCCCAGUGAUAAGCGUAAAACCAUCCAAAUAUCUCCAAGCUGAAGAAAUAGAAAAGCUAUCUGACAAAUCAAUAACCUAACCCAGUCUAUCUGGAACCGGCUUGAGUUGGAAAUCCUACAAAGGUAAAGUAAAAUUAUCCCAUUGCUCCUGUUCCGCUCUACCUCUACGAAUACGUCUAAGGGUAUUAACCCUCAAUCCCAUAGACAUCUUGUCACUAAUAGAAUCAUGUCUAUGCAAAUACAGAGCAUAAACUCUAGGAAAAGUGGCAGACAAAAUCACAUCAUCCCUCCACACAUCAUGCCAAAAAGAAUUAAGAGUGUCGUCUCCAACUCUAAUGAGCAAAGAGAUUAGAGGUCUAUAUCUUUCUGGUGCAACUGGGAGAACAUACGAAUAACCCCAACCUAAGGCCCUUGGCCAGUAAUUGGAUAGCUCGAGUUCCUACACGCACCAUUCGACCCGUAAAUAAAUUUUUAUCACUCUAACCCACAAAAGGUCAGGGUACUGAUAAAAUCUCCAUCACCACUGAAAAAGCAUAGCCCUAUUGAAAUAAAAAUUACUACCAAUCCCCAAUCCUCCUUCAUCCCUGGAAGCUAUAACUUUAUCCCAUCUAACCCAAUGCUUACAACGUUCAUCCCCGUCUGCACCCUAAAAGAAUCUCACCCUCAUUCCCUCUAAAACCUUCAAUAUCGAAAGAGGAGUAAGAAAAAUGAACAUCAAUUAGCUCCUAACGAUCCCAACACAGACUUCACCAACGUAAUCCGACCUCCAAAUAAAAGACACAUAGCCUUCCAAUUUGAAAUCUUAAACUGAAACCUAUCAAUCACAUAAACCAAAGAAGAAGUUUGAUUCAUAGCCUAAACCACCAGAAUACCAAGAUGGGAAAACGGGAGAGUAGAAGUUGUAUAACCAAUCCUAUUUGCCACAACAAGAACUUAGGAUAGAAGGAUUCCCACACAAAUCAAUUUACUUUUAGAUAAAUUGAUUUUCAGCCGUGAAGCCAAAUAAAAGCACCUGAGAAUACGAAUAAGACAAUUCGCAUUUUUAGGAUCCCAAGAAGAGACCAACAUAACAUCAUCAACAUAAAGGAUAUGAGAAUUAUCAAUUCCUGAAAUAGAAAUCCCUCUAAAAGCAUUCCCCAUUCGGGACCUCAUCAAAGUAACAUGUAAACCCUCCAUAGCCAAAAUAAAAAGAAAAGGGGACAACGGAUCACCCUGUCUCAACCCACGAUGAAUUUGGAAUUCAUCUGUCUGGGAACCAUUAACCAACAUUGAAGCCCUAGCAGUGAUCAAAUAACUCCUUAAUCCACGACACCACAUAGAACCAAAUCCCAUAAUUGAUAUGAUUUCCAAUAAGUAAUCCCAUGAUAACAAAUCAUACGCUUUCUCGAAAUCCACCUUAAGUAGCAUCAUAGGAUUUCCAGAAGCCUUACUCCAAGCAACCAUUUCAUUUAGGAGAAAUAGACCAUCCAGAAUCUGUCUACCUUUGAUAAAGGCAGAUUGCUCAAGGAUGAUAACACUAUGAAUAACAUCCACAAGAUGAUUAGCUAAAAUAUUAUCAAUAAUUUUGUAUUGGAAACCAAAAAGACUAAUGGGUCUAUAAUCUUUUGGAGUCUUCGGGUCUUCUAUUUUUGGGAUGAUAGUGAAAAAAGAGGCAUUACACCCCUUUGGAAUAGAAGAAUGAUGGAAAAAAAUAUUAACAAAUGCCUUAACAUAUGCUGCAACAAGAUCCCAAUAUCUCUUCAAAAACCCAAAAGUAAAACCACCAGGUCCUGGAGCCUUAGUGUAAUGUCCCAAAAACAAUGACAUAAAAUUUUUUGUUUUUAGAUUAAUAAAUCGUUAAUACAUAUCUUUCCUGUAAAACCAAGGUAACCAAAAUUUAUCAAGGCGUCAUCAAAUCAGAGUAAUUCACAUAAUGCGGAAACAUGUGGUGUGUGCAUUGCAAUCACCCGGAGCUCUUCCAUUUGAAAACCAAAGUACCUGAAACAUAAAAUGAAAACCGUAAGCAAAAAGAUUACUGGGCCCCCGCCCUUCAUCGAGUCUCACCUGGUCUUGGGCCCAACCCGACAAUGAGCCCCGCCCGACAUCGAUCCCCGCUCAAAUUACAGAUCCGUCAUUCACCAGGCCCCACCUGACAUUGGACCUCGCCUGAUACACACAUAAUCAUAUAACCGUAUAAUCAUAUAAACGUAUAACCUACUAAGAAAUGCAAUAAUCCCAAAGACUAUAGAAUACCAUAAUCGAGCUUCGCCCAGCAUCGGGCCUCGCCCGUAAAGCAUAAAAACAGAUACUAGUAACUAGCAUACAAUAUGCUCAUCAGGUCCUGCCAGGCAUCGGGCCUUGCCCGGUAAGCAUAUCAUCAUAUAAAACAUGCAAGAAUCACGCAAACAUCUAGCAUCCUAACAUAUAAAUCAUGGGCUGGUAUUGGUGCCUUCGACCUACUAAACCUAGUGAGGAGACUCACCUCGCACUGCCGAAACACACAGACGAUCCCAUACUGUUGGCUGACAAAUUCCCCGAACUGUCAAUAUCAAAACAACACCCAAUUAUCAAUUAGGUUCCAAACCAUAACCAUAAAUUCAUACUUGGGGUAAAAACACCAUUUUACCCCUAACCUAUCUUGGUCCAAGACCAAAGCCCAACUCACAACUUGAAAGGCCCAGAAGCCAAAUAACCAACCAAAUCCCAAUUAUGGGCCAAUUUUCCAAAUUGGGCCGAAACCCCUUACAUGGGCUUUACCCUAAACCCCAACCAAAAUUUCUAGUCCAAGACACUUAUACUCAGAUGGCCCAUUAAGAACUCAACACCCAAGCCCAAAAAGGAAGCCCAAAAGCUAAAACCCUCCUGACUAAGUACGCGGGGCGUACUCAGCUGUACGGUAAGCAUACAUGUAAUUUGGAUUGUACGCUACAUAUACAGACUUGUACGCCCAACAUACUCAUCCAUUAAGCCAAAAUGCCAUUAAGCACUUAAUACUCAAGAGCAGGAGUCCAAACCAUAGAUUUACUUCUCAAAGAACGUUUAGAACCACAAAGUCAUUGACUUGAUGACUUUGCAUGCCCCAAAAGAACCCAAUAUCAAAAUAAAGCAUUAUACUUUCUCCAAAUGGACACCAUCUCAUGCAUGAGGGAUUCCAAACCCUAAAGGAGACAACUUUAAGCAUCUAGAACCUCAGAAACACCAAGAGUAGCAACUCAUAGCUCCUGGAGUGGUACCAAACCACUAGAUCUCAUUCUUGGGACCAAAAUGAACCAAAAACUCAUACAACUAGAUCUAAGCCAACAAUGAACACGAUCAAAGCUUUUUACCUCAAACAAGCUGGAAAUGAAGCACAUAGUCCAGAUCCAUAAGAUCAUCCUUUAUUCACAACCUUGCAUCAAACUCCAUCUUUUUGGCAACGACCCAAAAACACCAAAAUGCACAUCAUAAGCUCAAAAUUACCACGAUGGAGGCUUAGAGACGAUUUCUAGGGUUUUGGGAACUUGGAGGUUGAUAAAUGGACCAACCAAAAAGACUUAAUGAGAUUAUAUAGGGUACAACUCCAAGAAUUAGGGUUUUCAUUUAUCCUUCGUACGCCCCACGUAUUCCUCGUACGCCCAGCAUACGAGGUAUCACAAACCCAAUCUGACCCUCACAGUACGCUAAGUAUACUCAACAUUUGGCACAAUGUAAUUCUUUUCACAUGAGUACGCCCCGCAUACACCCUAGGUAUGUCCCACAUACUAGGGUUUCCCUACAAACCCUAACAUAUUCUGAAGACCAUAACUUCUUCGUUGUAAUUCCGAUUUCGACGAUCCUUAUAUUCAUAAAAAGGUAACGAGAAGCUAUAUACGUCCAUCAACUCAUAACUGCCUUACCAAAUCCCGAAUAAACAUCUAUUUUCCAUAGAAGCCCGAGCUGAUAAAUUACCGAAAUACCUUUUGGCUCCAAAACACAAACCGAAAACCCAAAUCAUCCAAAUUAAUUUAUCUAACCCCAAAUGAGUCCAAAUCUCAAUUCUUCUUGGGUCCUAAGCCCGCUAAUACCCAAUCCCUGAUCACUAUUCCAAAAUAAGAAACAAUUCGAAGCAUGGUGUUUCACUUAAUAGAACCACAAUCAAAAACUACCAUUUUUAUCUCCUCAUAAUUAAAAGGAGACUGCAAAAAAAUCAACCUGCAAUGGGGUUAAUGUACUAAAAGACAAAAACAAAAUUAUGGCUAUAAUGGUUCCGCAAAGGUGGCUCUGCGGAUCCAUUGUACACCUCUACGGAUCGCUAUAAUCCUCUGAUGAAUUGGCGAAAACGAGGUAAAAUCGGUCAACCACCAAUUCCUCAGAGAUAUUAUAGAUCCACAGAGGUGUACAAUGGAUCUGCAGAGCCACCUCUACGGAACCAUUAUAUCCACAAUAUUUUUUUGUCGUUUAGUGUUGCCACGUCAUUUCCUCAAUACUAUGCAUCGUUCCAUAGAAGAUUAAAUAGAUCCUCAGAGUCCCAUCUGCAGAUCUCAUGGUCAUUUUCCGAAACUUAAAAUUUCAUGGUUAUUUCCUUAAAACACCCCCUAACUUUUGGUUAUUUCAUGAAUUUUCUCUAUUGAAUAAUGGCAACUCGAAUAAUAUAUCUGUCUCCGACAUUUUCACAGGGCUCACUAUCGAAGUGGAUACAAAUUCCUAGAUGCUUAGUAUUGUUUUUAUCUACUCUACAUCCGCCUAGAAAAAUCGAAUAUUGUUGUGCUUGCGGCGUUGCAUAUCACCAUUCAUGUUUUGGAAACCUGCAUGUAGCAUGUCAUUGUCAUGCAACUACUUCCUAAGUUUCUUUUUAAAUUCUUUUGUUUUGAUAAUCUCUCUUUCAUAAGUUUCUAUUGUUUAUGUUUACAUCCCAACAAAUCUCACUCACUGACCACUUACAGUGAUAACAUACUCAAACAAAGAAAAUCAACCCUUAACUGAAAAUGUAGAUUUAAAUAGAUUAAAACAUUAAUUUUUCCAAAAUUUCAAACUUUUUCGAAAAAUUUGAACCAUCUUUUGCAGAACAAGUGCUUCGAAAAUAAUUAAUGAGUUUUGAAAUUACAAAAAAUAAGAUUUUCAAAAAUAUUUUAUGUCAGAAAAUGGUUUUUUGAAAAUCAUACCACACUCACCGUACUAUUACACUGUCAUGUUAUCGCCGCAUCAUUUUUCCUUUCAUCCUUCAAAACCUGUGGGUGACAUACCACAGUUUACUACACACACACACCAACGGUCAAAAAGAAAGAAAAAUAUUGUUGUUAGGUCAUCACACUAUUUUUGGUUGCGGUAAGAAGGGAUUCGAGUUGUGUUAGUCGCAUACUGCGGCGCCAAAUCAACAACUACAAUGUGUGGUAGAGAGUGCACCGACCGGUCUAAGUGAGUUCGAAACUUUUAUCACAUGUUUAAAAAAUUUGAUAAAGGUAUUUUCGAAAUAACUUUACCUCAUAAAUUUUGGAAACAUGCUAACAUUACAACGCACAAAUCUUACUUGGGAACUCUAUUAAAAAAUUACUCAUUAAUUGUGAAAAAAAAAUUCAAAUAACCUUUUUUAUCAUAAAGCAUUUUUUCGAAAAUGAACAUUUUCCAAAUAACCAUGGAAUAUUUAUUUUCAUAUUUGAUGGUUAUUAUUGCCAUAUAUUUUCCAUUUUGUUGUAACGACGUUUUGUCUUAAUAAUAUUAAUAAUAAUUUAUUAAUAGCUUCUUGUUAUAAUUAUAAAAUUAAUAAAAAAAAUAAAAAGUAGUAAACAGAAGUCAUGUUACAACAAUUUAAAAUAUAAUAUUGGUAUUUUAAAAAUAAAUUUUAAUCGUAUUUUUUCUAUUUUAUGUUAGUUUAUAACCCGUAAGAAUCACGGUUAUAAAAUUAAUUAAACUUUUAUAAUAAAAAUUUAUAAUUUUUAAUCAAUUAUUUUAAAUAAGUUAUUUUAAAUAAAUUAAUAAUUAAGAGAUAUAUCAAAUUUUUAAAGUUAUUAUAAUUUCAAAUUUAACUUAUAAUUAGAAAAUAUAAAUUUAAAUUUUGAAAUAAAUUGUCUGACAUACCAUAAUAUUAAUCAACACUUAUAUUAAAACGAGAUUUGUNAUUUUUUGCAGUUUUCUGGCAAUUUUGAUAGCUUUAAUGUUGUUUUUUUGGCAGAUUUUUUGACAGUUGUAACAAUAUAGCAGUUUUUUUUAACAAUUUAAUGUACUCGACAAAAAAUGAGCCUAAAAAGCCCAAACCGUGAAACUAAACCAGAACCAAACCGUUAGUAACAAUUUGAUUUUGUUUGGUUUUAAUUUUUAAACGGUUCCGCUGCGGUUUUUGAUCGAAAAAAAAAACUGUGAAGACCUCUAAGUAGAGGUUCGUUUUGUAUCAAUAUUAAUAAUAAUUUUUUAGUAGCUUCUUAUUAUCAUUAUAAAAUUAAUAGAAAAAUAAAAAGAAAUAAACACAAGUCAUGAUUACAAUAAUUUAAAAUAUAAUAUUGUUAUUUUAAAAAUAUAUUUUAAUUGCAUUUGUUUAUUUGAUAAUGAUAUCCAUCCCUUUAAUAAUGUAUACAACCGGGAUACCAGUAACUUAUGCACUUUCAAUAAAUUAACAUGCUUUCGGAAAAAAAAAUUGUAAAUUUGUAUUUGUAUGUAUAUAUACAUGCAUAUUUCCAACAAAGCAACACCGCUAACCAUGGCUUUUUCUUCUCUCUCCCUUAUCCUUUUCUGCUUCAUCUUCAUAUCAUUCGCCAUCUCCGACGCCGUUGUUCCCCCCGCCGACACUUUUCGGUAUGUCAACCAAGGCGAUUUUGGAGAACUCGAUUCCGAAUACGCCCCAACCUAUCGUCCUCUUCCUCCAUACACCUCCCCUUUCCAGCUCUGUUUCUACAAUACCACCCCCGGCGUCUACACUCUUAGUCUCCGCAUGGGAACCGGACGUGAUGAAGCGGUCAUGCCAUGGGUGUGGGAUGCCAACAGAGGCAACCCAGUUGGCGAAAACGCCACCUUCUCAUUAGCCUCCGACGGAAACCUUGUACUCGCCGACGGAGAUGGACGGAUCGCAUGGCAAACCAACACCGCCAACAAGGGUGUCGUCGGUUUUGCCAUACUCUCCACCGGUAACAUCGUGCUUCGUGACUCCAAGGGUGGUUUCGUCUGGCAAAGCUUUGAUUCACCUACUGAUACGCUUAUGUUUGGUCAAUCUCUCCGGAUCGGAGGUCCAACGAAGCUCGUCAGCAGAGCUUCAACGACGAACAACGUAAACGGAGCGUAUAGUUUCGUGAUAGAGCCAAAAAGAUUGGGUUUGUAUUAUAAGAACAUGCUUUAUUGGUCUUCCACGUUUCCAUUGUUUCCGGAAUUGAACCAACCAAAUGUGACUAUUGUUAAUGCGACAUUCGCCAUCGUGGAAACCGAAUACAAUAACGACUUUAACGCAAUUAGGUGUCAUCUUUCAAACUCUAAUGCUCAACCUUUUUUGGACAUGGACAUACUCCGAUUCAAUAACACGUUAUCCUAUAUCCGAUUAGGCAUCGAUGGGAACUUACGACUCUACUCUUAUCGUCCUCCGAAUAUCCGUUUUAGCCAAUGGCGUAUCGUGUUCAGAUUGUUCGAUAAUAUGGAGACCACGAGGCGGGGUUUAUAUGAAGACGAGUGCCAACUGCCUGAACGCUGCGGCAAGUUUGGGCUGUGUGAGGACAGCCAGUGUGUUGGGUGUCCGUCGCCGGAGGGUGUUUUUGCGUGGAGCAAAAACUGCAAUGCGAAGACGCCGUCUUGUAAAGCGGGUGGUUCUCGUUACUACCAGCUGAAAGGAGUCGACCAUUUCACUUCUAAAUACUCUCCGGGGAGUGGGCCGAUGAAACAGAAAGAUUGCGAGAGUAAAUGCACAAAGGACUGUAAGUGUAUGGGGUAUUUCUAUCGCACUGAUCUAUCGAGGUGUUGGAUCGCUAACGAGUUAAAAACUUUGACGAGGGUUGGGAACUCGACUCAUUUGGCGUACAUCAAAACACCCAUCCAGUAGUUGGAUAAGUCUACUAGGAAAGAGGGAAUAAGGAAGAUGAAAGAUUUGAAGAAAUAGCACUGUUUACUUGCUUUUCUAUAUUUUUACCUUCCAUUGUCUGUUUGUAUCGAAAUCAAAGAGACUAUGUGGUUGUAUAUUUUUUAAGAUGUAAAACGCUUCGGUAUGCAUAACACAUUUGCAGUAGAAUAAAUGUGUUUACAGUCUACAAGUGGACAAAAUAUUUACAGUUUAAAUAAAGUUUUUUUAAUAAUUAUAAAAAAUAAAAUUAAAAAUUGUUUCAAUAAUUACAAGAACGUAUAAACUGCAAAAUAUGAUUAUCUUGCGGAUUACCAUUUUUUUAUAAUUAUUGAAAAAAAUCUUUUAAUUUUAAUUUUGUUUACUUUAUCUUUUUUAUGUUGUAUGUAGAACUUAAAAAACAAUCAAUCUUUUCUUGUAAAUGCAAACAAUUAGUCCCCUUGUAGACUACCAACACCUUACCUAUUGAAGGCAUGUAUUUUUUCUAUAUGGUAUUUUAUUUUCUAUUAUGAAACAUGAAAUGCAAAUUUAAUUUGAAAAUCAGUAAAUCUAUAAAUAAUUUAAAAAAAAAAAAAAAAAAAACACUAAAAUUACGAUACACAAAAUUGUGUGUCGUCUUUAUUUAUGACAUGACCUUUCUUGACAGGGACUUCCUAGAUACGCAUUGCGUGUCAUAAACACGCGCUUCGUAAGGUUACGGCACGCAAAUGCGUGUCGUCUUCCUUUAUGACAGGGCCUUCCUUGAUACGCAUUGCGUAUCAUAACCGUGCGUCGUAAAUGCGCGUCGUCUAUAGAUGACGCGCAAAAGCGCGUCGUCUAUAGAUGACGCGCAAAAGCGCGUCGUCUCUCUUUAUGACAGGGCCUUCCUUAACGCGCAUUUGCGUGUCGUCUGAGCGUUUUACGAUGCGCAAUGAGCGUCGUAAAAGGCUGUUUUUUAGUGCGAUAAAGGGUCGGCCUUGGUGCCGUAGACCCUGUCGAUAUAGUGAGGAUAACCCACCUCGCGACUUUCGAAACUCUAAACUGAAGAAGCAGAUGCCCGAACCACCGUCUCACCAAAGAUCCUGAACUAUCCAAAGUAGCAAAAUACACAUUAGACCAAGCACAAUAUCCUUCCAAGGGUAAAUUGACCAAUUUACCCUUAACUCAAUUUGGUCCAUGACUAAGGUCCAUAAUGAAAAUAUGAAAGGCCCAACACUAGGUAAGCUCUCAAGCCUAUUAAUGGUCCAAAGACCAAAAGUCUGAAGCAAAGCCCAAUAUUGGCCCAAUUUACUAAAUUGGGCCCACCUCACCAAAUGGGCCUAGAUCCAAGGUCCAUAAUAAUUAGUGAGUCCAAAUUACUCCAUCCAUAAUGUCCAGUCACAGCCCAAGCCAUAUUAGCCCAAUAACAACCCAAUCUCUUAAGGCCCAAAAUGAAAACUCAACAGAGGGAGUACGUUGGGCGUUCCCUUCUUGGUAUGCUGGGUGUACAACAAUGCUCGCGGAUUGGAAUCAGGACACAGACCCACUACGUUGGGCGUACUCCCAUUUAGGCAGGGCGUAACCUCGCUGAACUACAACUCCACAUAAGAUCUUAAUGGCUUAAGCUCUUAAGCCCAAACUUCAGAUCCAUAGACAAAAUAUGCCUAGGAUUCAUAAAGUCUCAAACUUUAUUACUUGGGACGUCCAUAAACCUCUUAACCCAAGGUCUUAAUCCAUUAAGACCUACCUAUAUCACAUAUGAGACAACCAAAGCCCUUGGGACCUCAUUUUUCUUACUCAAGACCUCUCCUAAGGUCUGAAAGGACAACUAAUCUCGACCAACUCGAAUCAUGCAUCAAGUUGAGGUUUUUGGGACAAGAAUGGUGUUAAAACUUCACAACACAAAGAUCUAUACAAUAAGAUUGUCAAGCCAGAGACUUUUUACCUCAAAAGGGCUCCAGAAGAUGAUGCCUCUCCAGAUCUACGAGCUCCAGCCGCCCCACUCCUUCUUUGACAACUUAUGUUUUCUUCUUCUUGGUUUUCCUUUGCCAAAACAAGCUUUCCAAGGUCAACACACCCAACAAUGGAGGUGGAACGGCUAUCUAGGGUUUUCUGAGGGUAAGAGAGUGUUUAUGGAGGCUAGGGUUGGAACCAUAAUGUUCCUUAUAUAGUGGUUGACCCUAAAUUUAGGGUUUCUGGAUGAUAGACGUACGUUGGGCGUACAUCCAGUACGUUGGGCGUACGUCGAGAGACCUCCGCGUUCAUUUACUCCAUUACGUUGGGCGUACCUAGCCAAACACGUGCAUGAAUGCUUGGCAUGCAUGGGACCCCUUUGCUAAACUUCCCCCUUAGGGACCAUUGUUGUCAAUAUCUUCAAUUUACAACAUAUCCUCCAUCCUAAGUUCGUUCCCGACGAACUUUAUAUCCACAUAAAGGGGCGCGAGAAGACCUACGCUUCUAGUGACACACCCCGACCCGAAAACCCAUUUCGAAUAAACCCAAUACCCAUAAAAAGACCGAAACGCCCUUACUCUUGAUCUCGGGAACCCAUAAAUAGAUAUUUUAAGAACGGAGCGUUACAGAUAUUGAUUGGGAUGUUGUACAAGCAUUUAUGGUUUUUGCUAAGGUGUUUUAUGAAGUGUGAAAUCGGUUUUCGGGGUCUUUGUAUGUAACUUUUCGUGCUUACUUUCAUGAUAUGUGUUCAUUGCAUAGCCAUAUUCAUGAAUGCAUUAAAAGUGAUGGCGGGUGAGUUCAAUGGCUAUGAAUAUGAAAGCAAAGUAUGAUAAAUAUUGGGAAAAUGCAGAAAAGAUGAAUUCUAUAUUGUAUGUAGAUGUUGUUUUUGAUCCUCGAUACAAAUUAAAAUAUGUCAAUUGGAGUUUGGAAGAAAUAUAACCUAUCGGUGAUAUUGCAUGUGACUUGAAAAAAAGUUAAAAGCCACUUUGAAUCGACUUUAUGUCUUUUAUUUGGAAAAAGAUCCUAUGCAUGCCAAAAUUCUUCUUCAAACAAGAAUCAUAACAAAAGAAAAGUUAAUGAGAAUCUUAACAUACAAGAGAAACGUAUGCUAAAAUAUAAGGAACAUUUGGAAGAUGAAAAAAAUAGGAGAAUUGAGUGAGCUUGAAAGAUAUUUGUCAGACAAUCAAGAGCCAAGUUAUGAGUCAUUUGACUUGUUGGAUUGGUGGAAGACAAAUAAAGCAAAAUAUUGUAUUUUGGGAAAAAUUGCACGCGAUGUCGUGGUUGUUGCAGUUUCUAUAGUUGCUUCGGAAUCCACAUUUAGCACAUGGGGUAGAGUUUUGGAUUUAUUUAGGAGUAGUCUUUCUCCUAAAAGAGUGCAAGCGCUUGUAUGCACACAAAAUUGGAUUUGGGGUGUGUUUAACAAAACUGCAAAAGUUUGUUAUGAAGAUGUGUUGCAAGAAAUUGAAGACCUUGAAGAAAUUCAAAAUAGUAAGAUUUCAGAUGUUAAAAAGUUUUAUAUCUCUUUGUUAUUAUUUUUUACAAAAUAUAACCUGUAUUUCAGGUUUUGCAAGCGAACUUAGUAUUUGCGCCGACAAUAUCGAUUGAAAGAUACUUUUCUUCUCAUGGUCUUAUAUUGAACUUUUGGUGUGAUGUUUUAAUAUUGAGUUUUUUGAACAAUAAACACAUAUGAAUUGGAUGACAUUUUGGAAGUGGAUAACAUUUUGGAAGUGAGCUUGCGGAUAAUGGAAAAAUAUUUGUGGUUUGUGUGUAUCGGUCUGAUGUUUGAUGUAAUGGAACAAUAUUUGUUAUUUUUAUUUACUGUUUUGGAUGGUUUUUAGGUUGCAUGAAUAGAUACAAAUGCUUGACGUAAUAGAAAGAUUUUAAAAAGUUUUAACAACUUUAAUAUGUUGUUUUUUUAACAAUUUUUUGCAGUUUUCUGGCAAUUUUGAUAGCUUUAAUGUUGUUUUUUUGGCAGAUUUUUUGACAGUUGUAACAAUAUAGCAGUUUUUUUUAACAAUUUAAUGUACUCGACAAAAAAUGAGCCUAAAAAGCCCAAACCGUGAAACUAAACCAGAACCAAACCGUUAGUAACAAUUUGAUUUUGUUUGGUUUUAAUUUUUAAACGGUUCCGCUGCGGUUUUUGAUCGAAAAAAAAAACUGUGAAGACCUCUAAGUAGAGGUUCGUUUUGUAUCAAUAUUAAUAAUAAUUUUUUAGUAGCUUCUUAUUAUCAUUAUAAAAUUAAUAGAAAAAUAAAAAGAAAUAAACACAAGUCAUGAUUACAAUAAUUUAAAAUAUAAUAUUGUUAUUUUAAAAAUAUAUUUUAAUUGCAUUUGUUUAUUUGAUAAUGAUAUCCAUCCCUUUAAUAAUGUAUACAACCGGGAUACCAGUAACUUAUGCACUUUCAAUAAAUUAACAUGCUUUCGGAAAAAAAAAUUGUAAAUUUGUAUUUGUAUGUAUAUAUACAUGCAUAUUUCCAACAAAGCAACACCGCUAACCAUGGCUUUUUCUGCACUCUCCCUUAUCCUUUUCUGCUUCAUCUUCAUAUCAUUCGCCAUCUCCGACGCCGUUGUUCCCCCCGCCGACACUUUUCGGUAUAUCAACCAAGGCGAUUUUGGAGAACUCGAUUCCGAAUAUGCCCCAACCUAUCGUCCUCUUCCUCCAUACACCUUCCCUUUCCAGCUGUGUUUCUACAACACCACCCCCGGCGUCUACACUCUCAGUCUCCGCAUGGGAACCAGACGUGAUGAAGCGGUCAUGCCAUGGGUGUGGGAUGCCAACAGAGGCAACCCAGUUGGCGAAAACGCCACCUUCUCAUUAGCCUCCGACGGAAACCUUGUACUCGCCGACGGAGAUGGACGGAUCGCAUGGCAAACCAACACCGCCAACAAGGGUGUCGUCGGUUUUGCCAUACUCUCCACCGGUAACAUCGUGCUUCGUGACUCCAAGGGUGGUUUCGUCUGGCAAAGCUUUGAUUCACCAACUGAUACUCUCUUGUUUGGUCAAUCUCUCCGGAUCCGAGGUCCGACGAAACUCGUCAGCAGAGCUUCAACGACGAACAACGUUAACGGAGCGUAUAGUUUCGUGAUAGAGCCAAAAAGAUUGGGUUUGUAUUAUAAGAACAUGCUUUACUGGGCUUCCACGUUUCCGGCGUAUCCGGAAUUGAACCAACCAAAUGUGACUAUUGUUAAUGCAACAUUCGACAUCGUGGAAACCGAAUACAAUAACGACUUUAACGCAAUUAGGUGUCAUCUUUCAAACUCUAAUGCUCAACCUUAUCUGGACAUGGACAUACUCCGAUUCAAUAACACGUUAUCCUAUAUCCGAUUAGGCAUCGAUGGGAACUUACGACUCUACUCUUAUCGUCCUCCGAAUAUCCGUUUUAGCCAAUGGAGUCUGGUGUUUAGAUUGUUCGAUAACAGGGAGACCACGAGGCAGGGUUUAUAUGAAGACGAGUGCCAACUGCCUGAACGCUGCGGCAAGUUUGGGCUGUGUGAGGACAGCCAGUGUGUUGGGUGUCCAUCGCCGGAGGGUGUUUUUGCGUGGAGCAAAAACUGCAACGUGAAGACGCCGUCUUGUAAAGCUGGUGGUUCUCGUUACUACCAGCUCAAAGGGGUCGACCAUUUCACCUCUAAAUACUCUGCGGGGACUGGGCCGAUGAAGCAGAAAGAUUGCGAGAGUAAAUGCACAAAGGACUGUAAGUGUAUGGGGUAUUUCUAUCGCACUGAUCUAUCGAGGUGUUGGAUCGCUAACGAGUUAAAAACUUUGACGAGGGUUGGGAACUCGACUCAUUUGGCGUACAUCAAAACACCCAUCCAGUAGUUGGAUAAGUCUACUAGGAAGAGGGAAUAAGGAAGAUGAAAGAUUUGAAGAAAUAGCACUGUUUACCUGCUUUUCUUAUUUUUACCUUCCAUUGUGUGUUUGUAUCGAAAUCAAAGAGUCUAUGUGGUAUACUUUUUAAGAUGUAAAACGCUUUGGUAUGCGUAACACAUUUGCAGAAGAGUAAUGUGUUUCCAGUCUACAAGAAAAAAGAUCGAUUAUUUAUUAAAUUCUACAACGACAUAAAAAAGGGUAGCUGCUAUUUGUAUACACCUCUAGGGAAUGAAAGACGAGAUCACAUCAAUCAUCGUGGUCUUUCUAUAAAUUUUAUAAGGUAGGCUAAAUUUUUUUUCUUAUUUUACCAUUUAGACGCCCUUAAUUAAUUUUAAAUUUUUUUUUUAUUGUCGCCAGAACAAAUGCUAUCAGAAAAGUUAAAAACCCUGUCGCAUGGUAUAGAUACAUGUGGGAUAUUAUUGGAAAAUAGAGAACAUAAUUUUUGGAGUUUCGGUUUUUUGGGCUAAAUUUAGGGUAGAGUGUUAUAGAUGAUUCCUGAUUGGUUAAUAAGGCUGGGGGAAUUGGAGUCACCGAAAAUGCAUUCCUUCUCCCAUCACAUAAGCGUCAUGUCAUUUUUUACCACUCAAAUGUGGUUUCUUGCCACAUCAAGUGUGUAGUGCCACACUUUUCAUUUCUUUUAUUUUUUUGUUUUUUUUAAGUAUUUUAAUUUAAUAAAACUUCCUUUUUUUAACUAUUUUAAUUUAAUAUAACUUAUAUUUUAAUAACAAAAACAUAAUUUUUCAUUACUUAAAAAUUAAAAAAAAAAAACACUAUAUUACGUUACUAAAAAAAACCCAUACAUAUGACAUUUAAAUAAUCUUAGAAACUUAAAAAACAUAAAUAAAAUAACUAAAGCAAACUACAUAAAGUCAUUCUCCGAGAACUCGUCUUCGGGGUCAUCCGGUGAAUCCAAAUUAAGGUUAAUGUUUUGAACCCUAUAAAUGUUUUCCAAGUCAUUGCGAAGAUUGUAAAAUGUUUCAGUGCAAUGUAUCUUUGCUCUCCUGUUUAUAUACUCUUCGCCACCAAUUUCUAUUGGCUAUGUCUCUGGUAUGGUUUCUUCUUCGUCAAACUCACAUAUCGCUUUUCCUUCGUCUUCAUUAAUCAUGUUAUGCAAUAUAAUACAUGUAUAUAUGAUUUCUUGAAGUUUUUCCUUGCCCAAAUAAGUUGUUGGUUUUUUCAAUAUGAACCACCGUUUCUUCAGAGCUCCAAAGGCACGCUCAACAUCUUUCUUAGCUCUUUCUUGAGCUCUCUUAAAUUUCUUUUGUCAAGAACCAUGUGGAGCUGAAAACGGUUUAACAAACACAGCGUACUUAGGAUAGAUUCCAUCGACCAGAUAAUAACCAUACUUAUAUGGCGUUCCACGCACUUGAAAAGAAGAAUCUGGUGCGAAUCUAUCGUAUAUGUUGUUAAAUAUUAAUGAACGGUUAAGAACGUUGAUGUCGUUAAUCGAACCAAGAGAACCAAAAAAAGCAUGCCAAAUCCACAUAUCUUGUGAUACAACUGCUUCAAGUAUGACCGUUGGGUGACCAUGAUCACCUCGGGUAAAUUGCCCAUAAUAUGUUGUAGGGCAAUUUUCCCAUGCCCAAUGGAGACAAUCUAAGCUUCCUAGCAUUUCAAGAAACCCAUGCACACUAGCAUGAUGAGCUUGCAAUUGCAGGAUGUCAUUACGUGUAGGCUUACGUAAAUAUUUUGGACCAGAAAACUGAAUCAUAGUUUUGCAGAAAAAAUGGAGACUGUCUCGUGCUAUCCUAGCAGACAUCCUAAAACUUUCGUCUAGCGCAUCAGGCGGAAUUCCAUAUGCUAACUGACGAAGUGUGCCCGUGCAUUUUUGUAAGAGAGUGAAACCGAGUGUACCUCUAGUAUCGUAGCGUUGUUGGAAAAAACUACACUCCCUCGUUACAUCGUCAACUAUACGUUCGAAUAAACCUUUGAGCAUUCUGAAGCGCCUACGAAAUACCUUGGUAAGUGGCAUUCUCUGCAAAAUAUUCUUGCACCAGACGUUGGUUGACUUCUUCACGAUUUCUGUAAAUAUAUCUUCGUGUUCUCUGUUGAGAACUUACAGCUGCGUUGUUACAUACAACGUUGUAUGUUUGUUCCGCCAUUUAAACACACGCAAUAGCGAUAUCAAAAAUAGUCUGAAAUUCUUCAGAAGAUGAAGAAGAUGACAUUUUUGAGAGAGUGGUGAUUUAAAUUUUUUUUUUUUUUUUUGAGAGAGAAAGGAGAUUGUGUUGUAAAAAAAAAGAUUAAGUUGAUAUGUAUAUAUAUAGAAAAGAAAAAGCAAAAGAAAAAAAAUUAAAUGCUCAACGUCAAUCCUUCCCAACUUCCCUCAACCAAUCAGAACACACGGUCUUAGAGAACCGCACUAUGGCCAAGAUUGUACUAGACCGCGGUCUGAAAACGGUGUUUCAAUACUACGUGGCAUAAAGUGCGGUCUGGAACGGUACCCGCACCGUGAAGCCUAAGUAAAGCAAACGGAUUUUGACGGACACACGAACCCGCGAUACUAGUAACUAUUACCUUUUCAUUAAAUUAACAUUCUUUCAUAAAGAGAAUAUAAAAGUCUAUAUAUAUGCAUAUAUAUCCGACAAGGCAACACAGUAACCAUGGUUUCUUCUCUCUCCCUUAUCCUUUGCUGCUUCAUCUUCAUAUCGUUAUCCAUCUCCAACGCCGUUGUUCCUCCCGCCGAUACUUUUCGGUAUGUCAAUCAAGGCGAUUUUGGAGAAUUCGAUUCCGAAUACGCCCCAAACUAUCGUCCUCUUCCUCCAUUCACCUACCCUUUCCAGCUCUGUUUCUACAACACCACCCCCGGUGUCUACACUCUCAGUCUCCGCAUGGGAACCAGACGUGAUCAAGCAGUCAUGCCAUGGGUGUGGGAUGCCAACAGAGGCAACCCAGUUGGCGAAAACGCCACCUUCUCAUUAGCCUCCGACGGAAACCUUGUACUCGCCGACGGAGAUGGACGGAUCGCAUGGCAAACCAACACCGCCAACAAGGGUGUCGUCGGUUUUGCCAUACUCUCCGAUGGUAACAUCGUGCUUCGUGACUCCAAGGGUGGUUUCGUCUGGCAAAGCUUUGAUUCACCGACUGAUACACUCUUGUUUGGUCAAUCUCUCCGGGUCGGAGGUCCGACGAAGCUCGUCAGCAGAGCUUCAGCGACGAACAACGUUAACGGAGCGUAUAGUUUCGUGAUAGAGCCAAAAAGAUUGGGUUUGUAUUAUAAGAACAUGCUUUACUGGGCUUCCACGUUUCCCGAAGUGAACGACCGAAAUGUGAAUAUUGUCAAUGCAACAUUGGAAAUCCAGAGAACCGAAUACGAAGAAAACUACUUUAAUGCGCUAAAGUGUCGUCUUUCAAACUCUGAAGCUCAACCUAAUUUGGACUUCGACAUACUCCGAUACAAUAGCACGUUAUCAUAUCUCCGAUUAGGCAUCGAUGGGAACUUAAGACUCUACUCUUAUCGUCAGAAUGUCCGUUUCAGCUCAUGGAGUCUGAUGUUCACUUUGUUCACUAGAAGGGUGAGCGAGAGGGGAGAGAUAGUUGAAGACGAGUGCCAACAGCCUGAUCGCUGCGGCAAGUUUGGGCUGUGUGAGGACAGCCAGUGCGUUGGGUGUCCGUCGCCGGAGGGUGUUUUUGCGUGGAGCAAAACUUGCAACGUGAAGACGCCAUCUUGUAAAGCGGGUGGUUCUCGUUACUACCAGCUCAAAGGGGUCGACCAUUUCACUUCUAAAUACUCUCCGGGGAGUGGGCCGAUGAAACAGAAAGAUUGCGAGAGUAAAUGCACAAAGGACUGUAAGUGUAUGGGGUAUUUCUAUCGCACUGAUCUAUCGAGGUGUUGGAUCGCUUACGAAUUGAAAACUUUGACGAGGGUUGGGAACUCGACUCAUUUGGCUUAUAUCAAAACACCUAUUCAGUAGCUCUGUGGUGCACGAGAAACCGGGAACAAGGAAGGUGCACUGUAUAGUUGCUUUUAGUAAAUUCUGACCUUCCAUUGUGUCUUUGUAUCGAAAUCAAAUAAUAUUCUUGUUUUGAUUUAUAAAAAAUUAGGUUAUAUGAGAUAACCGUUAUAUAUAAAUAAUAUUUAAAAUGAUUAAAAAAAUAUUUUUAUUAAAUUCAUCAUUUACAACCAACUUAUAAAAUAUAGCAGAUGUGCAAGAAAAAGAAAAAAACUUUUUUGAAAUAGUAUGUAAGAUGGUGCCGUAAAUAAUGCGAAUUAAUUUAAUAGAAGGAUUUGACUUAUAAUGGUAAGUUUAUCAUAAGAUUUAUGCUUAAAAUUUGAUUUUUUUUUUUUUAAAUCUAGAUGCAACCUUGGGAGGUUGUAAUUAAUUUACGACGGAAUAACAAAUCUAUUUAUAUAAACAAAAUGUAUUUUUAUAAACAAAACAUAAGUUUAUUAUUAUUAAUUUUAUCUUUUUUUAUCCACAUUGUGUCA